rnacentral:lncRNA from 1 species
UUACAAGUAAUUUAAAACCCUUUUUUUUUCCUUUUUUUUUUUCAAAUGCAGCCAGUUUUUUAAUAAAGGGGGGGGGGGGGAGCUAUUAACCCACUCUGCUAGGGUUUCAUUUAGCUCAUAGUCGUCGAACCACCUUCAUGCUUGGUGGCUGACGGCGCACGAAUAGCGACCGGAUCUUGUCGCUGGAGGCCACAACUAUAGAGAUCUAGUAAGUUUUCUCUUUCUCUUUUUCUUAUUUUAGAAAAAAAGGCUUCAAAUCCUACACUAUUCUUUAAAAAAAACAAGCAAAAUUCAAAGAAUGAAAAAGAACUUAACAUCGUUCGACCCUCGUCCACAUCUCCCUGCUUUUGAGAUAUUUGGACUCUCAUCGACGUCCAUUCAGGUAUUAUUUUCUCAUUUUUUUAUUCUAAAAUCGCAAAACAAAUCAAAGGAAACAAAAAUAAAUAGAUAAACAGAUUUUGAAAUCACCUUUUAAUUUCUUGUUCCCUUUUUUUUAGUAUUUCAAUCUCUGUGUGUAAAAAAACAUUGUCUUGGUUUCGGGUUUUUAUAUCCGAAAAAUAAUACAUCUUAAUUUUUCAUUUUCUUUGCGCGUUCCUUCUGUUCUGUCUUCAUUUUCCUUUUGUUCUGCUGGCUUUCUUCUUUUUGUGUGUUUGCAGGUCUAUGGAGGAGGUCAACGGGGCAGAGGCUUCCUUUUUGGUGCAAAGGACGGGUAGAGCCGUCCCUCGAGCGAUGUUUGCACUGAGAACGCACAUGGCUGGCAGAAGGAAGGCGCGGCGCUAGGGUUUCGGUUGGCUGAACUUGGUUUAGGCAUCGGUCCUAUCGGGCUUAGGUCUUUCUUUUAAUUUUGGGCCUAUUAGGUUGUAAUUUUGGCUGAGUUUAAUUGGGUUUGAUGUUUGGGUUGAUGUAAUGGGUUUGGAUUGGCCUUUUAAUGGGCUUAUUAUUUGGUUUAUUUAUGGCUUAGUCGGCCGGGCAAAAUUUGGGUUGUACACAUGUUAUUAAUUGAAUUGUUGUAUAUAUAUGACUUGUAUUAUAAGUUUUGAUAUGUAAGUGGACUAACCUAUUGGUUGUAUUUGUUGAUAUGCAUAUGAUACUACAAAGUAUACCAAUGGAUGCCAUAUUGAAUGCCAAUGUGUUUAAAUGUUUAGUUUAUUGUAAUGUCAAGGUAAGCUAAGUAAAUUUCAUAUAAGCUUAUUAAGCAUUAAAUAUGCUUACCCCCGUUAUUUUCCCUUUCCUUGUAGUUGGUCAACUUGCGAAACAUGUCAAACGGAUCAAUGAGAAUCUCACACUAUCUCAUUAUUUAUUCAGUAGUUUUUCAAUCAUUUGAAAGUCCGAUUUUGUGGCAUAUUCAUAGGUGUUUGUAUAUGUUAACUUGAAAUGAUAGUUUUAGUUUGAAACUUUAUUAACGUUUAAUUUUGGUAAGGUUAAUGCUUAUUUGUAUAUAUAUGUUUUGGUGAUAUGUUGAGAUAUGUUGUGGCAAAUUGAAAUGGCAUAAAUGGGAUAUAAUUUGAUAUAGGUAAUGGUUUGGCAUUUUUCAAAUGGUUUAGUUUGAAUGUCAUGGUAUUGGAAUGAUAUGUUUAAUGGUUGAAUAGGUUGUAUAAUUUGAUGCAGAAAUGAUUGAGAUUAUUGUACAUGUUUUGGUAUGUAUUGGAAGUGUUUUGGUGCAGGUGAGGUUAACCAAUUAUGCACAAAAUGAAAGGAUUGUGUGGUAAUCAUGAAAUAGGUACCAAAUGGCUUAAAUUUUACCAAACAUAGAGUCUACGUCCCGACGAGCAAUCUUCCCCGUCACAACGUCGACUGACAAUGAGUCAUGUCGCGAUGUCGAGUGGCUUAAGGUCACGACAUGAAAAACUAUUUGGUGAAGUCACGAUGUGGAAGAAGUGAUGUCAGACGUCAACCCUGGAAUUUUGAAACUUUAUAGUUUGGUCCUAUUUCAUGCUCGGGUCAACAAAAGAGCUUUCUUAAGUUCAAUCAAGGCUCGAAUUUAAUUGUGUAUCACAAUAUGAAUAUAUUUAUGACAUGAUUGUAUGUUUGAAUAAUUUAUUUACAGUGUAUUUGACGGUAGUUGUUUCGGCAAUAGAUGUAACAUCUUAUAGCUUGGACCCAACGAUCGGGUCAGGCAAGAGGUGUUAUAAUAAAUCCAUAAACGGAUUCAUGAUCUAUUCUUCUUGGGUCCAGUCUGAUGUCCUAUCAGUCCAAUCAAUUACAUCUAUGUCUCUAUCUUCUGGGAGUCAUCCGCUCCGAUGCCCAAGACAAGAUAUUUCCCCAAUUGGACUUGAUAGAUGACAUAUUAGUCUUUUAAUCAGUUUGCUCAUUUUCGAUUAGACUAAAGACAUGUUUAGGUCCAUCUACUAAUAUAAGUUGUCUUUUCGUAUUACGAUCCGACCACGUAAUAUCACUUCGUAUUAGUUUAAAUAUUAGACAACCAGUGAGUCAAUAUUUGCUUUUAUUUUGCUUUGAAUGCAAAAAUCACAUGAGGACAUUAUACAAAGUAUAUUAAUGUAAUUCAUGAAUUAUUUUAUUAACCAAUUUAUUCGAAAAAAUUACAAGUAUUCAUAGACGAAAAUACUACAUUUAGGGCAUCAAAUCUAACAUGUUACACUAUCAGCAAAUGAUCUUCAGCUAUGUUUUAUUCUAUCCUUAAUGAUGUUGGUCAAAUUUGGAGAGGAAGAGGAGAAAGGAUCGGUUUUCAUCCUCUCAUACCUUAUAUCUUUUUACUUGGAGACCAAGAUGGUUGUUUCACUUGGAUAUGAAAUAAGUUAUGGUAUAAUUAUUGAAGAUAUUUCAAGAGAUAAGUUCAGUCUUUUACUAAGAGUUUUAAGCUUAAUGUAAAUGUGCUUAAAACAUCUAGUGUUAGCCUAUAAAAGGUUGUUGGUUGUCACACAUGUUGGUGUACUAGUGGGUGUGCUUUUGGUUAGUUAUUUGUGUGUGCUUUACUUGGUGUUUUUUUCACUAUUGUAUUAGGAAUUUUUUUGGAGAAUUAUUUUGAUUUGUAAAUGAGAUUUUGGGUGAAUGAAUUGUAAUAAUCGGGAUCAUUGUUGGAGCUAUAAUUACUUCCUGUGCAAGGAUAACUUGGGCUUAAGCUAAUAGGGUAGUUUGUGCAAUGAUAGUUUGGACUUAAGCCAAUAAGUGAAGCUCCGUAAAGUACGAUUAUAUAUUCAAAUUGCAUUCAUAAACAUCAUGUGUUGACUUCUCUCUUUGCUUUACCCUCCAUUUAUAAAUUACUCUUUAGCAUAAUUCUUAACUUAUUAAUAUCGUAUAAUUUUUUGUGCAAAUAUUAUAUAAAAUUUAAAAUAUUAAAUAUUUAUAUAUUAAAUAUAUUAUAUGUCGAUAGAGUUUUAAUUAGAUUAACAUGAAUAUUAUUAUAAAUAUAAAAAAAUGGUAGCUUUGAAUACUUUAAAAUAUAUUAUUCUUUCAUUUAUGAAUUGAAGAAAGAUUUAUCAUAUUUUAAAAAAUUUAUUUUUUAUAUAAUGCAUAAAAUUAAGAAUUACCCAUAAUCAUGUAGAGGCAUAGACGAUAAACUUUGUUCGGUGCACUGACAUGAAUGCGAAUCCCUAAUUUUUCUUAUUUUGGUUCUUAGAGAAAACAAGAAGAAAAUCUUAUUUUGCACUUGAGAGUUUGUACUUUGGACAAAGAUUCAUGAAAAUGAAAUAAGAAAUCCUUAAACUACCCAAGGAAACAUAAAAAUAGCUUCCUUCCUUUUCUCUGUCAUGUCAAAAGAAAUUUUCAGAUUCUCUCAGAAAAAAAAAACCAUAUUUUUGCAUAGAAUUUUGAGCCAAUUUGCUUCCAAUUGAUGAAUAGAACAAAAGCUACAUUUGCUUUAAACGAUUCCUCUCUUGAUAAACCCAUCAACACUUCUUCCUCUUAUCAUUAUUUUCAGCUCCAAAAAACAUUUCCACUAAUCUCCCUUGUUUAGGUAAUAAUUGAUUCUCUCUCUUUCUUUAAUUUCAUUUGCUUAUUGGCUUUUGUUUCAGUUCACCUUUUUAAUGUUCUCUUCUUCUUCCUUAUCUUCUUAGUUAUUAUUAUUAUUUAUUGGAUUUCGUAUAAUGUAAGCGGUACCCACUUUAUAUUUUGGCUUCAAUUUUAUGAAUUCAUCGUGUAUAUUGUUUAAGAAAAAUCUAUGCUGCCUGGUUUUGUCUUACAAGACAGGAAAUAAAAUUUUAAUGCUUCUAGGCAGCUGCUAAGUGUUGUAAUAGAUUGAAUUGUUAGCCUUUAAUUUCUGAUAAAUAUUCCAUUUCAUAUUUUAUUGAUAUUUUGAAUGAAAUUUAUGCUACAUUUUAGAUAAUUCAAUCCCAAUGAUUUGUUAACUUCAAAAACCAUGGCAAACUGAUAUGUUUACCAACCCAUCAUAUGAAUUGGAUCGCACGAUCCAAUCACAUAUCGUAUGCGAUCCUAUUGAUAAAUCGUUAGCAUCCCAAAAGACAAAUGCUUGCGCUUGGUUCAGAGGUUUCUAGUGUGCUUUAGAUUCUAUUUGCUUGCUGUAGGAACUAGCUGCUUUGCUAAGUUUGGUACUCGACUCACCAUAAUGAAGGAAACUAUCUAUUUUCAGUUCAUUUCUGUUCAUCUUUGCGACUGCCUUUAAGCAGGAUAAGGCAUAAAUAGAUACGCAGAAACAUGGGCACUCCUGCCGAGUCAAAGAGAAGAGUGGCAUUCGUGUUGAUCGAUGGAUUGGGGGAUGUAUCAAUACCGAAGUUUGGGUGUAAGACUCCUCUGCAGGCUGCAAAUGUUCCAAACUUGGAUGCCAUAGCAUUAGCUGGAGUUAGUGGCCUCAUGGAUCCUGUGGAAGUAGGUUUGGGUUGUGGGAGUGACACUGCUCACCUUUCGCUGUUGGGCUAUGACCCCAGAGUAUAUUACCGAGGACGUGGUGCAUUUGAGUCCAUGGGGGCUGGAUUGGCGAUGUCACCUGGAGAUAUUGCAUUCAAGGUGUCUAACCUGUUCUACCUCGCCUUUUAUUUGUUUAUUUUUACUCUCCUGCAUUUCUUGGUCGAUUGUUUUGUCGAUAUUGUUUCUGUUUUGGACCAUUCACUAAGCAUCCCUUAAUGGGGUAAUAUUAUGAACUAUGAUACUUCUCAAAUGCUGAUAAUUUGAUUUUUUGAUUCAAGAAUUUCAACUUAUUAGUUAAGUUUAAUGUGGUCAUUAGCUUUUAUAUGAAUGAAGGAAUUUUUGUCAUUGGCUGUAUUUUAUUUUCACAUUUAAUAUAAAAAACAUACACUUAUACUUGUUGCAUGAGAUGAUUUUAUAUGAUCUUUUACUUGAAAACCUUACAUCUUUAAUCUCCAUUCCCCAGAAAAUAAUUAAACUUAGUCCCUUUUCUCCUAACAGGUAUAAUCUAGCUUCUGACUUUAAUCACUGAUUCUUUUGAGCAUUUUCUUUAAUAUUUUUACCAAGUUUUCUUUUGGCAAUGAAUUUUACCAACAAGUUAACAUGUAAUAGUUCUGUAUAUUUUCUUUAAAGAACAUUAUUUGUGUUCUUAUACAUGAUUACCCAUUCCAUUUUUCUAUCUCCAGUCAAAUUUUGCAACUUUGGAUGAGAAAACUGGCAUAGUUACGAGUAGGAGAGCUGACAGGCAUUUUGAAGAAGAGGGGCCUAUCCUUUGUGGUGCCCUGGAUAGAAUGAAGCUUCCAUCUUUUCCUGAGUAUGAAGUCAGAGUCAGGUACAUUGUGUUUCUUUGCUGUAAUUUUGAGUUUCUUAGUUCUGCACGAUAUGUAGAUUAGUUGACAAUGUUUCAUUUUUACAGGGCCAUUUUAGUUAUUGAAGUUCCUAUGAUUGACAAUUUUGAACCUAGGAAAUGUCUUAGCAGAAAUGGUUGUGGUGGUUAGCCUAGAUGGAUAUGAGAAUGUUUUGUUCGAUGUGAACUUUGUUAAGGAUUCAAUUGAGACUUUAAGCUUCUAUUGUGAACCAUUUAAUGCUAAGUCAUCAUAAUCAACCUCAUACAGGUAUGCAACAGAACACCGAUGCGGAGUUGUUGUUAAAGGGCCAAGACUCAGUGGAAAUAUAUCAGGAACUGACCCAUUGAAGGACAACCGCUUACUUCUGGAAGCCAAAGCUUUAGAUGACACAGAUGAAGCAAGACACACGGCUGCAGUUGUUAAUGAGUUAUCCUGGGAGAUUUCGAGGAUACUGGUGUCUCACCCGUUGAAUGCAAAAAGAUUAGCAGAAGGGAAGAACAUUGCUAACAUUGUCCUUCUAAGAGGCUGUGGUAUUCGAAUCGAGGUAUUUUAUUUUGUCCUAGAAUUUUCCCUAAUGUAUAUGCAUUUGACUUCUUUGAAUGUGGAGAAAAACACGUGCACCGAAAAAAAAGAACAUUUUGCGUUUUGCAUUUUUCUAAUUGGUUUCUUGUUCUUCUAUAAUAAGAUAACCGAGAAAUGGCUCUAUCUCUUCUAAUUAUGUAGGUUCCUCCAUUUCAAAAGAAACAUGACUUGUGGCCUUGCAUGGUGGCACCCACAAAAAUUAUUGCAGGAUUGGGCCUAUCACUUGAUAUCAAUAUCCUAGAAGCUCCUGGUGCAACUGGGGACUAUCGAACACUUAUAACUUCAAAAGCAACUGCCAUAGCUAAGGCGCUUUCUGCUCCUUUACAGACUUGUCCUAAUGUCUUUGUUCCAGGGGAGGAUGAGCACAAGCCUGGCAGAUCAGAUGGCUAUGAUUUUGGAUUUCUCCAUAUCAAGGUAAUGACCAUAUAUGAACUCAUCAUUUGUCGCCAUUUUUCGUGACUCCUAAACUUAACAGAUACUUGUAAAUAGCUACCUUUUGGGCUAGAACCACUGUUAUUUUCCCCUUCUCUUUCCUUGAGUUUUCAUCCUGUUUAAUCCCACAUAAGAUAAUCUUGUUUUGGAGUUUGCUGAUCAUUUAUGUCGAACAUAUCCUAAUUUAUCAAUCCUGGGUUUGAGAAUCUUUUCUUGCCCGUGGAAAAAAAUAUCUCCGAAGUGGCAGGGCAUGAGGAUAUAAUUGUAUCGUGAAAAUUGUUUGACAUUCAGAAUAUCUUAUCACAGAGAUUGAUUUAUAUAUUCCAUUUUGGCUUUGUAUGCAUUUCCCCUCCUUGUUACGGACACUAACAAGGUCUAAUGUUUAUGGAGUUCUGAAAUAUAUGGACAUGGUUAUCCAUGUUUAAGCAAUGUGAUUUACUUGAUAUUUCUAAAUUGCAGGCAAUAGAUGAUGCAGGUCAUGAUAAGGCAACUGUUUUCAAAGUAAAAGGAUUAGAAGCUGUAGAUCAAGCUAUAGGGCAGCUGGCUAAGCUCAUGUGGCAGGCUGAGUCAACCGGAAACUUUCAAUAUUUUAUUUGCGUCACUGGUGACCACUCUACACCUGUUGAAUAUGGAGAUCACAGUUUUGAGCCAGUUCCAUUUGCAAUAUGCCGGUUGAAAGAUUUUGUGGGUGCCAUUGGUGGGGAGUCUGUUAUUUUGGAACCUUCUCUUGAUCCUUUUCCUCUUCCAACCGUUAAGGCGGGUGAAGACCUAAAUGAAGACAUUACUUUAGGAAAAGGGAGAAAUUGCAAGCAAGUUGAAUCAUUGUCUGGUGAUUCAGUUUUCGAGUUUAACGAGAUUGCUGCAGCGAGGGGUGCUCUUGGACGGUUUCCCGGUGGAGAGAUGAUGGGAAUUAUAAAGAGAUUUCUUAAAUUAAGUGCUUGACUAUCAUUAGCUCUCAGUAUCUGUAUCAGGUACUUCUAAUCCUAAAUAGACUGCUGUUAUCCAAUGAUAACCAUUGUUCUUCUUUUGUAAGCAAAAUAAAGAUUGCAUCUUAACAGUGGCACACAUUUUUUGAAUAAAGCAGUUCCUAUUUCUUGUUCACUUUGAAUAAGUCGUUCAUCAUUCUUAGAGAUAGCAGCUAGGCAAGACUCAUGAGACUCUUCUCUUUUGUAAAGGAAAACCAUUGGUGAUCCUCUAGAAUCAAAGGGAAAACUCCGAAGAAUAUUGAAGAAUAUGCACGCUGAAUGUGUUGAUUCAUAAGAAUUUCCCAUUUGUUUUAAAUAUUUCGUUUCUUUAUAUAAUAAAGUGUCAUGUAAACAAUCAUGAUAAAGUAAAAAAAAAAAAAAAAAAAAAAAGAGCAGGUACUAAAGCAAGCACUAUUCUUCCUACUAGUAAGUUGCAUAUGUGUAAAUACAUCAGCAAAAGCAAGUAAACAAAGCAAAGUUUAAAGCAAAAUGUUGUUUUGCCUUAUCUUUCAACACUUCAAAUCUAAUUUAUAUAUUAUCGUAAACUAGUCUCUGAGUUAUACUUCUUUUAAACGGUUUAUCACUUAAAAAGUUUCACAAUUAUUUGCUCAUUUUUUUAUUCAAUCAAUUGAAUUAGUUGAUUAGUUCAAUGCUCAACUUUUUUUUCGGCAAAUCAUUAAAAAAGGUAUAAUUGGAGGAUAAUUUACACAUUAAACCUUAGUCAUAUACGUGUGCUUAUUUUUUUAAAAGUAGUGGUCGUCAUUUAUCACACUUUUCUUUUUUUUCUUUUUUGCUGCUUUUCAUUAGCUUACAAGGCCCAUGUGCUCCUCGUUAUGUAAAACAAUCAAAUAAUCCAAUUUCUACUAGAAACCAACUUUUUUUAAAGCUUAAUCAAUAAGAAAAAAACAAUCAUAAAAAGGGAUCCUCCUCCAAUACCUCACCAUUUCAAAAAACCAAAGGGAGAAAGAGAGAGGAAGUGUGUGUUAGUCAGUGGCAGUAGUGAUGUAUGUGACAAGGCCCCUUUCUUUAUACAGGAAAUCGCCAAAUGCCCUUGAAGAUGAACCACCUGCAGAAGGCCCUUAUUCAGGUUAUUUAGUGAUUACAGAUGAAGAGGCUGAGGAACAAGACACCUUCUGUUUCGGGGCUAUUAAGAGGAAGGCUGUUGAAAAGCUGCCUUUCCCACAAGACAAGAUAUUGAAUGUUGUUCAUUCAUCGGAGGUUGAGGAAACUAUGGUCACUAGGGUCUGGUUUAUUCCUGUUCUUGAUCAGCCUCUUGCUUCUAAUCACUACUAUGUUAUUCGAGCCAAAGGCAGAUAGAAAGGGUAAGGCUAUAUAUAUACUAAUCAACAAUAUAUAUAAUCUGUAUUAGAAAUUGUGUUUAUGUUGUCAACUUGCAGGCUAGCAUGUACAAGUUCAAGGGAAAUAGAUACCAAACUAUGUUGUUUCUUCAAUAAUGGUGUAAGUGAUGCAAAACCAGAACCAUUUGAUCACCGAAACGUAUAUCAACAGUUCAAGAUCCAUCGUCACCAUGGGCACAGUUUCUUUGCUAAAUCCACCGCUACAGAUUCAGUCCCACCAAAAUUCUUAAGGAGAAAUGGAUGGGAACUUCGUAUCUCACGCUCAUACAGGUUACAACUAAACCAAGCACUAGGCCUCGACUCAUCUCUCCGAAAACGCCUCCCCAGUUUCGAUUUCCCCAUGUACAACAAGAAGUCACCUUCAGUUGCCAUCGGACAAUGGUACUGUCCCUUCAUAUUUAUAAGGGAAGAGUCGAGACUAAGGCGACAAAUGAAGAAAUCACUGUUCUACACGAUGACACUGGAGCAAUGGUGGCAGCAGAUUCAUUCAUGCGACCAAGUGAACGAUGAACAAACUGAGGUGAAGAUGAGUAAAAUCGUGAAAAGGGAAUUCAUUUCUGUGAAUGGUAUGCUUGGUGAGAGAGAAGACACGGUUGGGCAAGGAGGGUUUUGGUGGUUCAAAACUUUACCGAGAAACGAUGGCCGAAAGAGCAGCAGUGUUGGGUUGAGUUUAGCUAUAAUGGAGAAAAUGAAAUGGUUACAAGAGGAAGGAGGAUGGUAUAAAGGAGAUGAAAGUGAAGUGAGGGUUGAAAGAGAAGAAGAAACAAGAAGUGAAGAAAGUGGUGGGUGGAGGAGAUAUGCUUGUUAUAUGCUGGUGGAGAGCUUUCAUUUGAGAAGAAUGGAUGGGAGUUUGGUGCUAAGAAGUGAUUUUAGGCAUACUCAAAAGAUUCGAUCUAAAUGGGAAUGAAUGCUGUUGAUAUGUUAUCAGUUAAUGAAGCUUUAAUCUACGGCUUAAUUGGGUUCAUCUUCUUGUAUGUCUUUAAGUAUUACAUGCUGGCUCUAAGAGCUGGGGGAUACUGGAAGCAGUUGUAAUUAUCUAUCUAUGUUAUCCCCCCAAGAAUUCAUACUACUCCAUGAAUAUUUUGAAAGCAAAAAAUAUUAUGGUUUUGCCAUUUCAGAUUUAUUUUCCCUAUUUUAAUUUACCACGGUUUAAUUUUUUAAUAACAUUUUAAAAACAAUUUCUUUUGUCUCGCCAAGAUGAAAUGAGUUUUUUUUUUAAUGUUAAUAUAGAGUUUUUCUUAUAAAAAAAAAUUUAUAUAUAACAUUUUAAUUUGAAUACGAGAGAAUAUGAACAUUUAAACUAACUAAUAAGAGUAUAUAAAGUUUAAUUAAAAUUGACUUAACCGGUGAAGGUGAGUUAAUUCGAUUCAUUAAUUUACUAAUGAAAUUAGUUCAAUCGAAGUAAUCAUUAAAAGAUUUUUGAAAUUUUAAUUAUAGUUUAAAAGUUAAUAUUUAACCAAAUUUAUUACUUCACCCAAGUGAUUAAUAAUAAAUAUUAUAUGUAUUAUAUAUAAGAAGCAUAAAUUCAAAUUAUAUAACAUAAAAUAUUAAAACUUUAAAUAAAAUGUAAAAUAGGUAAGAAUUAACAAAAAUAAAACUUAAAAACCCUAACACUAUCAUUUUAGUUGGGUUAAAUAAAAAUUUAUUAACUUAAUCAAAUUUAAUUUAGUUUAGUUUAGUUUUAAUUAUUUUUGCAAAAAAAAAUUAUUCGAAUGGUAGUGUGGUUGAGUUAUUUAUUUGAACACCCUACUAACUAAUGGCAUUAAGUAAAGGAAUCAAAUUAUACCAAUAAAUAGGGGUGUUCAAACUUUGGUUAAAAUUAAAUUAACCGACCGAAUCGAUCUAAUUCAGUUAAUCGGUCGGUUAACCGAUCUAGUUCAAUUGGAGGUCGGUUAAAGUUUUUUAAAAUUUCGAUUAGUGGUUAAUUCGGUUCAAAAUCAGGUACUUAAUCGAAUAUAUUGAACUUAAUAAAUAAUAUUAUAUAUUAUAUGUAUUAGGCUAUUACUAGUUCUGUUAAUUCGAUCAAAUGAACAUUAUCAAUUUUUUUAUAUAUUUUAUACUUCUUUUAACCAAAAAAACAAAUAAAACAUAUAAAUUUCGAUUAAUUCGGUUAACUGACCAAAUUAACCAAAAUAUUUCGAUUCGAUUAAUUUUUGUUAAAAAAAAUUGGUUCGGUUAAAAGUUAAAGGAUUAAAAAUUCGAUUAAUUCAGUUAAUACUAGUUUGGUUCGAUUAACCGUUUAAACACCCCUACCAACAAGUGCAAUAGUAAGGCACAUUGCACUCUCAAGUAAAGGACUUAGAUUUUAACAUUAUAUGCAACAUUGUUGGAAUGGCAACUAUAAACCUUAAAAGGAUUAAUUUUUGUGGACCGUAAAAUAGGAUACCUUGGUGUAAUAAGUUGAUGUAUAUUAGAUUUUGUCAUACUCAAAAUAAAAAUAUGAUUAUAUUAGCAUUUAUUCUUGAUUUAAAAAAAAUAAUUUUUAAAUAAUUUAUUUAAUUGAGUUAAUGUCAAGUUAACUUAUGAUAUUCAAAAUAGAUAGACAACUAUUCUUUAAACAUAGAAAUUGUUCGUAGAAGCGGUAUGGGGAGCUUCAAGUUUCAAUUACAGACCAGAACGAAGGUUUUGUUGGGAUAUAGAGAUUGGUAAUAUCUGAACUGUGUAUAAAUUUUAAAUCAAUUUACUUUAAAUGGAAUAUUUUUUAGACAAGAAAUGUGGAAUGAUUAUAAUAAUUAUUUUGCUUUAUUUAAUUUAUUAUAUUAAAUUAUUAUUUUAUCUUUAUAUAUAUUAUAUACAUAUAUAUAUUUUUGUUUUUGAUGAAAUAAAAUUGAAAGAAAUCAACUACAUGAAACAACUAUUGUUUUUAUCCUUCUUUAACAAAUCAAUAACCUCAUUGGGAGCUUCAUUGAAAACAUGAAGACUGGAUUUCCAAUUUAGAUCGAGUUUAACAAGAUGGUCUGCCACUAAAUUUUGAACUCGUGGAAUAUGACUGACUCUCCACUUUCCUUCCGUCUUCAUGAUACGUUAGGUCCUUCUAAGAAUAGUAAUCUCGGAUUCCUCCAAAUCCAAAUCGGACAAGGUUUUAACGACUUCAAAGUUAUCAGAUAAUAUCAAAAUUCGUCUAUAACCUUUAUUAAGUAAGAUGAGAAUCCCAUCAAGAAUGCCCCAAACUUCAGCUUCAAAUGGAGAGCAGACUCCUAAAAAAAUGAGAGAACCUCACAAUCCAAUUUCCUUCCUUAUCUCUAGCCACGCCUCCAGAAGCAGCAUAUCCUGAAUUUCUGGCCACAGCUCCAUCAGUGUGAAGAGAGACCCACGAAUCAUUUGAAAAAGUGACCAAUUUUGAGCUAAAGGAACUCCUUUCUGUAGAACCCAUACGUAAUCCGUAUUGGCGAGCCCAACAACUCGAUUUCCAAACCACCUCAGUUGCUGACCAGGAAAGAUUUUGAAAAAUGAAUAGAUUUUUAUUCUUCCAAACACGCCACACCACUACUCCGAAUAAGCAUGGCCAGGAAAGUCCACUAUCCUGUAAUCUUUCAUGAAAAGACAGGUUAAGUGAAAACCAAUAAGGAAAUGGGGAAGAAAAGAACCUUUGUUUAAGUUGUUCCGGAAGAAUAAGCAUCCACACGUUUUUUGCAAAGGAACAAUCUCGAAAGACGUGGGCUAAACCUUCAGUCGUAUGACCACAUAAAGCGCACGAGCUACAAGCACUCAAUCCCCUUCUAACACUCUCUGAGUUAAUGAGGAGUCUCUGUUGGACAGCCAGCCAAAGAAAGACUCUAACUCUUUGUGGACCCGGUAAAUUCCAAAUAGCCUUCCAUUGCUCAUCAAGGGUCUUCCAAGUAGAUUCUUUUAAGGUCCAAUAAGCGCUACGAACAGAAAAGGCUCCAGAAGAUAAUUGAGCCCAAACCACUCUAUCAGGACUAGAGUCAGGAUGGGGGGAGAAAUACUAAUAAUCUUACAAACCACAUCUUCAAAUAACCAAACACGAAGCAAUUCUACGCUCCAGCUUCCAUCCAAGUUGACUAAAUCCCUAACACGGCAGUCAAGAUCAAUGUUAGAAAAGCCUGGAAUUUUAGAAAUUAAAGAACCCAUACCUAGAAUCCGUUUGUCCUUCCAGCAUCGGACAGUGGAUCCAUCACCAAGAGACCAAAUUAAUUUAUCCCGAAUAAGAGGCCACAACUUAGAAAGAGCUUUCCAUAGAUGUGAGCUUCGACUUUUGUAAAUCGAAUCUAGGAUAGAUUCUUUCCAACAGUAUUUAGAGCGAAGAACACGAACCCAAAUAGCAUUGUUCUUAGAGCCAAGACUAUAUCCAAUCUUCAUAAGAAAAGAAUUAUUCUGAUCUUCCAAAUGUCUAAAACCAAGUCCACCCCUAGAGCAAGGCUGACAAAUAGAAUCCCAACCAACCAGAGACAUUUUGGAGUGAUCAUCAGUACAACCCCAAAUAAAUUGUCUAACCAACUUUUCAAUUUCUAAGUAGACAUUUUUCGGUAUCAUCAAUGACUGCAUAAAAAAAUUUGGAAUGGAAAGAAGAAUCGAUUGCGCUAAGGUGAUCCUCCCAGCCAUAGAUAACUUUCUAGCAUCCCAACUCUAUAAUUUCUGUCUUACCUUAUCAACAAGAAAUCUAAUAGUGCAUUUGGUAACCCUCUCGUGGAAUAAAGGGACAUCAAGAUACUUCCCUAAAUUCUGAACUUCUUGAAAUCCGAAAACCUGAACAAUUUGACUACGAACCUCUCUAGAAGUAAUCUUAGAAAAAAAGAUAUUACUUUUCCUAGUGCUAAUUCUAUGUCCCGAGUAUCACAAAACUGAUGAAGAGUACACUUAAGCAUUCGGGCUUAAUCCAGCUGAGCUUUGCCGAAAAUAACAAGGUCAUCGGCGAAGAUUAAAUGAGAAACAGCUGGACUAUUUCGAGACAGUCGAAUAGGCUCCUAUUUCUCGCUUUCUAUAUUCUUACGAAUGAUAUACCCUAACCACUCCAUGCACAAAACGAACAGAUACGAUGACAAAGGGCACCCUUGAUGGACACCCCUAACUGGUUUAAACUUACGAGUAGGAACACCAUUCCAAAGGAUCUGCAUUGUAGAGGAGGAGAUGACAGACAUGAUUACUUUCCGCAAACAGAUAGGGAUUCCAGUCGCACUCAACGAAGCCUCAAUGAAUUCCCAACUAACUCUGUCAUAAGCUUUCUCCAAGUCAAGCUUAAGGGCCAUCCAAUUUCUCGCUUUCUGUUUACAUCUCAUAGAAUGAAUGAUUUCUUGUGUAAGAAUAAUGUUGUCUGAAAUGUUCCACUCGGCUAUAAAUCCAGCUUGUUCCUGGGAGAUCAACUUAGGAAAAAUCACUUUGAAUCUAUUGGCAAUCACUUUCAUUACCAACUUGUAUAACACUGAGCAAAGGCUGAUAGGCCGAAACUGACUGAAGUCUUUAGGAUUCUCUUUUUUGGGAAUUAGAACAAUCAACAUGUUAUUCAGAUCCUUCUCAAUCUGUCUUCCAGCAAAAACCUCUUUGACCAAUUGGCACACAUCACCGCCAAGUAAAUCCCAUUGACUUUGAAAAAAAAUGGCAUGGUACCCAUCACUGCCAGGCGCUUUAAGAGGAGCCAUGUCAAAUAAUGCCUUUUUGAUUUCUUCAUUAGUGACAUCAGCUUCCAAAAAAAAAACUUCUGAAUGAUUAAGUCUAGGAAAAUCAAAGUUAGGCAUACCCAUUAAGGUAGGAGUAAUCUCACCAUAGAGUCUUUUAAAAUAGUCAACCGCUUUUUUCCUGCAAGAUAACCUGAUCAGAACACCAAUCUCCUUCAUCUAAGCGUAAAGAAGAAAUGCGGUUGAAAUUCCUUCUCUUAAUCGUGCGGCUAUAAUAAAAUUUUAUGUUUCUAUCUCUCAAUUGAAGCCAGUCACAACGAACCUUCUAUCUCCAAAAUAAGUCUUCAUGAUCAAGAACAUUUUCUAACUCGUCUCGAACUUCCAAUUCCUUUUGAAAAAUGAGACUAGAUGGAGAAUGAUCAAUGGCUUUUUUAAUAUUAUUAAGAGAACGCAAAAAAGUCCGCUUACGAGAGUUCAAAAAGCCAUAUACGUUCCUGUUCCAGAUUUUGAUAUCAGAAGUGAAAUUAUUAAGAGAAUCACUCAUAUUACCAGAAUACUUCCACUUCUCUUUAACAAAAGUAGGAAAAGUGCUAUGGUACGUCCAUCCCACUAAGAAUCUGAAUGGUCUCCCUAUGGAAACGUUGAGGUUCGGAUUAGUAUGAAGUAAGAUAGGCCGAUAAUCCGACUUAAUACGAGUUAGGUGAUAAACUAAACACUGCGGGAAUGUUAACAUCCAUUAAUCAUUUAUGAGUGCUCGGUCAAGUCUAACAAAAGUGCUACCUCGUUGUCAAGUGAAAGAGGGUCCACUAAAACCUAAGUCCUGCAAAGCACAAGAGUCAAAGAAAUUACCAAAAGAUUCACAACGUUUACCAACAUUAAAAGGACUUCUUUUAUCCGAGGGGAAAGAAUAGCGUUAAAGUCUCCCAUAAUAAGCCACGGAAUAGAUUGAGAUGGGGAAACAACUCUUAAUCAUUCCAAAGAAGCUUUCUUUUUAACCUGUCAGGACUACCAUAAACAAAAGAAAUGAAAAUAGAUUUAUUGCAAAUAAAGUUAUCAACACGAAGGGAAAUAAAUUGAGGAUGACUGCAAGUAAUAUAAACUCGAACAGAGUUCUUCCAUCCUACCCAUAUACCACCUGAAAAGCCGACAGCUUCAACCCGACGAGAGAAAUUAAAACCCAAUUGAUCAAUAAUAAAAUUGACUUUAUUAGCAAUUACUCUUGGUUCAACUAGAAAAAUAAUAUUCGGACUAAAUUCUGAAUUAUAUUCAUUAAAAGCCCGAAUAAAUUUCCUGUUAGCACUGCCUUGACAAUUCCACGAGAAAACUUUAAAAUUAGGCUCCAUCGAUAUAAAAAUAAAGAUAAAAUGAAGAGCAAAUCAAGAAAAAAAUUAAAUCCAUUUAAAUAAAAUUUUAAAGGAAAAAAACCCAAAAAACAACAAACCGCCUUACUGUCUAGGGGUUGAAGACCCCUCCAUUUGUCCAUUCUUUCUAGAAAAAAUUACAUCACUACCAUUCUCCUUGGAGAUAAUAGAAAUGCUUUCAGCUAAUUGCUCCAUUGAAUUUUUUAGAGAAACAUGAAGGGACCCAUGAUUCUUGAACCGCACAUUACUGCCUUGAAGGCUCUUGUUAUGCUUGUUAAUUUUUCCUCUAAUUUUUGUCCCUUUUUCCCGAAUCAAGAAACCCCGUUGACGAUGAUGAACUGUUUGAUUGAGGCGCUUCUUGUUUAUCACAAAAGAUCACUGCCGAGUGCUUCCUCGAGUCUAGCUUUCCAACAUCAACCAGCUUCUCACUUCUGUUAGAUUCCUUUAAAGUUGGGCUAGAACGAAUUGCAGCAUUCUCCCUAUCAGUAGGGAGGGAUUAGUCUUCUCCAUUUUGUUCUAUAUCGUCCACUGCUUUAGCAAGAGCACUGUUAAAACCUCCAGAACCAUCAGCGCCCAAAUUGGACCCUUUGGUAAGAUUCUCUGCAGCCUGCAUUUUUCGAUCCAGUGGAAUUCAGGCCUGAAUUGGAGAAUUAUCUCCUAAGCCCAAACUAUUGGUAAGAUUACCUAAGCCUUGUUUUAAAUCUAUAGAAUUAAUGUGGGUCUUGACAGAAUCCAAAAGAGGGCUAUUAUUCCUCUUGAUGAAUGGGCCAACACUAUUCUUGGGCCCCAUCUCCUUACCUUUACCGUUACUAUUACUUUUAUUAACUUUAUUCUGCCCAUUAAUUCAAACUCCCGUGACUUUCCUCUAUUGAUCCUCUAUUGAAAUAUUUUUCCCUUUAGCCUUCUGGAUCUCAGACAUAUCCCUGAUUUAUGAUUCUUUUAUUAAUUUUCUAUUUUCAAAUCCACUGAGAUUGGAACUUUCCUUUUCCCUCUCAAGAUUCUCGUAUGAUUUCUGCAUCUCGAUCCUUGAUUUGCGCCUAGAUUUCCUUUCAACGAUCAUCCAAGGACUAUAGUUACCAUCUUUUUUCUCUGUAGUUUCAAUGUUCAAAUUUUGGUUUACCGGUUCUUCCACCAGUGAGCCUAUGUUCGCUUCGAUCGGAGCUUCGGCAACUUUGAAAUUGCAUAUACUUUCCACAUGCCCAUACCUUCCACAAUGAAAGCAGAUUGUAGAGAGGGAUUCAUAGUCAACUCUUUGUUCACGUUCAUUGAUUAAGAUUUGUGACACUAAUGGUUUUUCUAAAUUAACAUACACUGCUAAUCUAGCAAAUCUUCCUCUUGUUCUACUAUCAGUGUUUAUGUCAAGCUUGACCAUUUUCCCUACAAGAUUACCGAUCUCAAUAAUAAUUUUGUGGUUGUAUAGAUAACUUGGUAAAGCAAGAAAUCUAAUCCAUGCCAUCACUACACUUGGGAACGUCUGAGAAGGAUCGAAAGCCAUUGUUCAAGGCUGGACAGUCAAAUAUUGACCAAAGAUUGUCCACGUGCCUUCCGAGAGAGCCUUCUCACAGUCGAAAUUGUUUUGAAAAUUUGACUAAAAAGUAGCUAUUCUCAAUGUCCAUCAUAUGAAAAGGAGCUGAAGGUUUCUAUAUAGAAUAGAUUUUAUUCUGCAAAACUGAGAAACCAAUAUUGCGACCAAGAAGUUUUAAGAUCACAGUAUUGCUCAUGAUCUAAAUAAGGAUCUGUUGAAUUCGAUCCGAAAAAUUGAUGGAAGGUACUCUGUUCACCAUAGUUUUCUGAAUAUCACCUUCCAAAAUAUCUAUAUUCUCCUUAUCGUUUGCUUCUUCAAAGCCACCCUUCGACUAUUCACCGACUAGCAUAUCUCUCCAUGAAGUAUAUUGAUCAGAGGACAAUUCUAUCACCAUAUCAUUGCUCUUUUCUACCUCUUUGUCUCUGAACCUGACCUUCUUAGGGCUCGUCUCUUCCACAGAUGAAUUUCCAGGAACAGCAGAAUCACCGAGAGAAUUCAUAGCUCCAAAAAAAAACUGAUUAUGUAAGUCUUUUUACUUUUCCUUUUUUUUUCUUUUCAAUUUUGUAUUUUAUCUUUAUAUAUUAUAAAAGAGUAAAAUAUAUAAAAGAAAAGGUUAAAACCUUAAAUCACUAUGUUACAUCAAUUCAAUGGUUUUUUAUUUUUAGUUUAUGGUUUCUAACUAAAAAAAAGAUUAGAGAAAUUAAUUGCGUGAAAAAAAUUACUUUCCAACGCAAAUCCCUUAUUUUACUUGGAAGUUUUGUUACAAGUAAUCACGAUUAUGUAUUAAUUGACUUUUUUAAUAAUUAUGUUUAAAGGAUUGAUAAUAUUAAAAGUAACUAAUAAAAAUUCAACAUGAGUGGCUUUUAACUCUUAAGAUUAUAUAUUUAUAUUGCAAUUGUUACAUCCCAACAAUUAAGUUAGAAGAAAUUGGGUUAGUAGAUCAAGAUAGCUUAAUGAUUAAGGGAAAAUAAGAAGAUAGUAUGAUUGGCUUAGAGACCCGAGUUUGAAUCUCUUUCCGAACAAAUAAAUUAAUUUUGCUAUUUUGCUCACUCCCCUAGUUUUGUGCCACCCAACCUAUCUAAACUCUAGGUAUAUAUGUUAUUUCUUUCAUUGUUUUUCAACCUUCCUCUAUUCUCCCUCUGCUCUUGCUGUCCAUCUCAUAUUCCUCUCCCAUUCUUCUAAUUUUUUUCUUCUUCUUUCUUCCUCUUGUGUCGUCCCAAACACAGUGAAAUUCACCAUUUUUGUGCAGCCUUUUUGUCUAUUAUUCUGCUGCCAUUUUUCUAGCCACAUUAUUUUCAUUUUUAAUCCCUAAAUCAGCCUCCCAAUGUUGACCAUUGUCACUUCCUCUCCUCCACUUGUGGUGGUACCAGUUAGUUUCCAUUUUCUUUCUCUUUUCUUUUCAUUUUCUUGCCGAUUUUUCUGUUGUUUUUAUAGCCACUUUACUGUUGUUUCCAACCCUAAAAAUCGUCCCCUUUUUUUCCCAAAGAUCUUUCUUUGUGCCACUCACGUCAGCCCCCUUUUCUGCCACCAUUUGUAGUGUUGCCACCCUUGGAACACCAUUGCUUUAGGCUGUUGUUUUCUCUUCAUUUGUUGCCCCUCACAAUAGUGUGUUCUUUGAUUUUUCUUUGUUUAAAAACAACCCUUAACGUUUGAAAUCAAUAGGGUAUCCAAACAUGUUCAUCUGCCAUCUCAAAUCUGGUUAUUGAGAUAGGGCAAGUGUGGAUCUAUGCGAGAUCUUGUGUCAUUUGAUUUCAUUAAUGGUUAUUAUUUUCGUCGAAUGCUCAAGGCCUUAGAUUGACUUUUACUUACUGAUUUUUAUAUGUUAUUUCCAACUUAGGAAUUGAUUUUAACGUCUCGGAUCAACAGAGAAAGUUGAUUUUCAUUUGCACCAUCAUUUUGCAUCAAAUCAGUGUAAGUUAGCUUGUCGAAUUGGAUUUGAGAAAAUCGUUAAUGUAGCACUGAUUUGGUUGAAUGCAUUUCAAGACUGGUUUUAACCAUAUUUUAACGUGUUAGGUGUUGUAAUUUGGAUUUAGGCACAUUUAAAGCUUAAGUGUGGACCUUACGAAUUAGUGUUAUGGACUUGCGAAUUAAGGUAUGGGUUUUUCCUUUUGCUAAAUUAGUUUAAAAACCUUAUAAUACGUGUUUAGAUAGUAAAUUUGGUUGCUAGUUUUGGCAUGUCCGAAAGGUGUAAGUGCUAGUAGAUGAGGUGUCGAGUGAGAUACGUAUUUAAAUAGAUAGUCCGAUUGUUAAAGGCCCUAUUGGGACCGAAUGAAUUGUGUAUGAGUUGUAUGUGAUGUAUAACUUUGUAUUGUAACUGAUGGAUCGUAUGUCGGUAUAUCAAGUCUCUAAUUGCUAAGUCUUGAUGAAAAUGCAUAUAUAGCAUGCUGAAUUUUGAAACAUUGAUUGAUAUGCAUGUAAUAUAUCAUGAAUGACAUUGAGCUUGUAUGUAUAUAAAUUACAUACCAUAUGUGAAAAUGACUGUAUGGAAAACAUGUAUGCAUGCCACUGUUACUAUAAAAUGAACAGCAUGCAAGGCAUACACCGAUUAUAUUAACUAAAACGCAUGUUAAGCAUGUUGUAAUACCAAAAUCAUAAUGAUAAACAUGAUAUGCUGAUUGAUUGUAUGACAUAUUGCAUCUGCAUGGGGUAGGUACUUAUGGUUGAUGGAGGAGUUCAGUGGAGUACGAACGACAUUUAAAAUCCGCAUAUUGAGUCAGUAUACUACACCUGGAGUACCGAGGAGAUUGUGCGAUUUAUUACUAACAGCUUGUCUGCACCAUUAUUGGCAGUUUACCUGCAUUACUGAUAUUGGUGGCUUGUCCAUAUUACUAGUAGCUUGUCUACACCGUUACUGGAAGUUUAAUUAUAUUACUGAUAUUGGUGGUUUAUCUACAUUGAGCUCUAGCUCGCACUGUUUGGAGUUCGAUAAACAGGUUUUGCAGAACUCGUGGUGUGUAGCGAAUGGAUGGGUAGGAAACCUUUUGCAUUGUAUCAUACACAUGACAUGCUCAUUCACUGAUUGGUUAUGCCAUGUUCGAUACUAAAACGAUGUUGAUUGUUAACUGUUAUAAUUUAUUGCAUGAUGGUUUAUUGUUGACCACACUGAGCUUUCAUAAGCUCACCCCAAUAGUUUUAAACUUUUCAGGUAACCUUCUUAACUAGGAUCAGACCUGGCAUUUGGAGCAUCAACUCGGACAUCGAACUUUUUUUAAGUUUAUUAUUUAAUUGGAGUUUUCCUUUGGUUUUGGACUGUAAUCAUUUUUAUUUAGUCUAUGGCUUGGUAAUUUUGUAUUUGGGGAUUUAUGUAACAUCCUAAAGUAGGGCCUAGAAGUUUGAGCCUAGUGAACUGUGAUCGUCAGUAAGCUUGGUGAGUUGGUAGUCGCUAGUAGGUUUGGCGAGCCGGUGUAUGGCAGUAGGUUUAGCGAGCUGAUGUACAAUAGAAGUUUUGGCAAGUUGGUGUUCGCUAGUGGAUUUGGUGAACUAUGACUGCUAGAGAGCUUGGCGAAAUAGGGAUCACCAGUGGGCCUGGUGAACUGUGAUAGUUAUUUUGGCCCAAUAGUAAAAAAGUAAGGGUAAUCAAAGGGUAAUUAUACCAAAAUUCAAAGUCAACUUACUUUUCUUUUCACAACACCAUCCAUGCAUGUAACUAUUUCCUACUUCUACUGUGACUAGGGUAUCCUAAGAACACCAAAACACUAAGUGCCUAUAAAUUAAGCCCUUUCCAUAGGAAAUCUCAUAUUCUAUUAAGCAACAAAGCUCUAUCAAAUCCUUCAUCGAUUACUCUGUUAUCAAGUUUUAAGAACCUAGAACUUAGAUCUUAGGAUCUAAGGUAAGAUUAUGUUCCUCUAUUGUGUUGAUGUUUAAGAAGAGUUUAGAACAAAGGAAACUAGGUUUGCCAAAAGACCAGCAUGUGCGAACUUAGGUUAACUUAUGUUUAUGUAUAAGUUUCUACAUGCUAUGUGUGUUAGUGACUUUUUCAUGUUUGUGAAAUGACGAACUUGACAGAACAAUCUAUAAGUAAAAACAAGGGAAAAAUGAAGCUUGUUUAAAGUUUUCAGCAAAUUGGUGAAUGUUUAGGGAUUGUCGUAUGUAUGUGCAAAUCAUAAUAUUAAUUAAUAGCUUAGAGUUUUAACCUAAGUUCAGUAAUACCCCCUACACGUAUUUAUUGUCGGAAUAGGGUACGAGGUAUUACCGGAGUUUAUAAUUUUUUUAUUUUUUUUAUAUUCAAUAUAGCCCCUUAUAAAUAUCUAACCUUCCCUGCAAUAUUAAAUCGAGACCAAUCCACAUCAACCAAACCAAUUCAACAUAUUUUCAAGAUAAAUUCAUGCAUAUUUAUAAGAUAAUGUCAUCACAUACCCAAAACCAGGUUUGUUAACCACACUAAUGGCUAACUUUACAUUCAUUUCACGUUAACAUUUACUUUAUUAGCUUAUACAUGCCAUUGAUUUCCAAAGUAAAGUUUCUUUAUAUACCGAAAUCUUGAGGUUGAUAGUGUGAUGUGUCUCCGACCAAAUCCGACCUCCGAGCUCUUAACACUACAAAACAGGGGAAAAUGAAACAGGGUAAGCACUUUGUGCUUAGUAAGCUCAUGUAACAAGAAUUAUACUUACCUAAUAUUUUCAAUACAAUACAACAAACAUUCCUAUAUCCAUUCAAUACAUUAUUACCCUAACAUGCACAAACUCAACAUUCAAGUUAGUACAAUAAUUUUCAUGUACCAAUAAUAUAUACUAUGAUUGAUGAGCUCAUCAAUACAUGAUUUCCAUUUCCUUAUAUUUUUUUUCAUAUUUAUCCCGUUGAAUUUCUUGGAAUUUUCGAUGGAUUUUCAGAGGUACACUUUUAGUGUACAUUUUCGGGUCCGUCAAUUCAUAUUCAUGUGCGCACAUUUCCAUUUCAGAGAGCACACUCCCGCGAACCUCAUCCUUACAGCGGGAUUACCAGUCCAGGCUAAAUCCCAUGUAAUAUAAACUCAUAGAGUAUUGUCGGAUUACCAGUCCAGGCUAAAUCCCCUGCAACGACAAUUACUCUAAUGAGCUUGGAUCUGAAUUACCAGUCCAGGCUAAAUUCAGACCCUAAUUCGGAUUACCUGUCCGGGCUAAAUCCAUUUUCCACAUAUUCUUCGGGAGGGCUAUAUCAGGAUAGGAUCACCCGUCCGGGCUAGAUCCUUUUUACCGUCAAUUCCUUUUCAGAGAUCCAUCGAAAUUUCCUUUCAUUCAACCGGGAUUUCUUUCCCCUUUUUAUCAAAUAUAUCAAUGUUUCAUCAAUUUUCAUACAAUGAACAUUCAAAUCAUAUUCACAUCAAUAAACAUACAUUUCAAGCAUUUAAGAAUAUAAUUCAAGUUACAUGAACUUACCUUGAUACUUGUUCGUGUACAAAAAUCUACUAAUCCUGAACUUUUUCCUUUCCUUGAUCUAGCUUCGUAUUUGAAUCUUCUGGAUCUAAAUAAAUAAAUUUAAUUAUCAAUUUAAUAUAUUUCAUGUUCAUAUGCAACAAUUUCUAUAAUUUCAUUAUUAUUAUUUAUAGUUUAUUCAAAGCUGUCUAUUUGAGUCAUAGUCAUUAAAUUAUUUAUAACUCAAGAUACGAAACUCUAAAUUAAAAUCCGUUAAUUUUCCAUGAAACUAGACUCAUAUAUAUUCUUACCAUAAAAUUUUCAGAAUUUUUGGUUUAGUCAAUAAGUACAGUUUAUUCGUUAAAGUCACCCUUGUUCUGCUGUCUGAUAGUUCUGACCCUUCUUCAUUAAAAAUUAAUUAUCUCUUCAUACAGAAUUCGGAUAAUGUUUCCGUUUGUUUUUCUUGAAAAUAGAAUCAUUCAAAAUUCUAUGCAUAUAAAUUUAAGCCCCUAAUUAUUUUUAUUCAAUUUUUAUGACUUUUCAAAGUCAGAACAGGGGAACUCGAAUUCAUUCUGACCUUGUCUCACUAAAUUCAUUAUAUCUCAUGAUUUACAGAUCCAUUGCUUACACUAUUUCUUCUAUGAGAAACUAGACUCAAUAAGCUUUAAUUUCAUAUUCUAUUCAUCUUCUAAUUCGAUUCCUACAAUUUAUGUUGAUUUUUCAAAGUUAGUCUACUGCUGUUGUCCAAUAUUAUUUUAGUGCAAGCUGUUUAUUACCAUUUUCCCCUAAGCUUUUAAUAAAUAACAAUUUUGUCCCUACUCAAUUAGCCUAUCAAUUGAGCUGAUUUUUCUCAAUUAACACUUUAUUCUAUCACCUUAAACUAGUUUACAACCUUUAGGAAUCAAAAUUUCAGCAAUAGACUUUAAUUCCAAACAUUUUUACAAUUAGGUCCUAAAAAUCAAUUUCUAUUGAAAUUACCUAAUAAAAUCAUCUCAUAAACAAAUUAAAGCUUUAAUUUCAUUCUAAUUCAUCAUAAAAUUAAAGAACUCAACCAUGGUGACUUUCAAUUUCAUCCAUGAAAUCAAAAACUAAUGAAUUUAAUAAUAGGACCAAGUUGUAAAAGUCUUAGAAACACAAAAAUUACAAGAAAAAGGCAAGGAUUAACUCACUUGGUGCAAACAUUAUGGAAUACCAGCUUAUAGAACCCUCCUAUGGCAUUUUUAGCUGCUGAAAUUGAAGAGAAAUGAAGAGAAAUCUAGAUAUUUCCUAUUUAGUCCUAGUUUUAUUUAGUUAAUUUUGCAAUAUUCCAAUUUUUCCCUUAAUUAUCAAUUUUCCUGCUGAUUUCAUGCCCUUGCAGUCCAGCCCGAAUAAAUUUUGGGUCUAAUUUCCUUUUAAAUCCUCUCUCAUUAGACACUUAAGCUAUUUAAUCAUCCUAUCCACUUUUACACAUUUUACAAUUUAGUCCUUUUCAUUUAAUUAACUAUCCAAACAUUAAAAUUUCCUAACAAAAUUUUAAUACCACAUUACUAACAUUUCAUAAAUAUUUAUAAAAUUAUUUUCAACUCAGUUUUACGAGAUAGAGGUCCCGAUACCUUAUUUUACUUUAUUUCUUCAAUAAUUUCUUUUUCUAACUAACCACUAAAUAGGUAAAAUUUUUCUAUCAAUAUUUUCAUACGAUUUUCCUAUCAUAUCAAUUUUCAUGCAAAAAUAUUGAAAUAAAUUUUUCUUUAAAUCGGAUUUAUGGUUACGAAACCACUAUUCCGAUAACCUUGAAUAUAGGCCAUUAUAACUCUCCCUCCCUUUUAGGAUUUUCGUCCUCGAAAAUCUUACCAGUAAAGAGGUUUGGGUAUUGUUUCCUCAUUGCCUCCUCCGGUUCCCAUGUCCCUUCCUCAAUCCCAUGCUUUUGCCACAAUACUUUCACCAAAUUUAUCUUUUUAUUUCUAAGCUCUUUUAUCUCUCAUGCCAAUAUCUUGACCGGUUUUUCACUGUAAGUCAUAUCCAGUUGAAUCUCCACUUUUGUUGGAGAAAUAACAUGUGAAGGAUCUGAUUGAUAUCGUCGUAACAUAGAUACAUGAAAAACAUUAUGGAUUCUAUCAAGUUCCGAUGGUAAUGCCAAUCGAUAAGCGACUGGUCCAAUUCUUUCUAUGAUCUCAUAUGGCCCGAUAAAUCUUGGACUCAGUUUACCCUUUCGACCGAAUCGAAGAACUUUCUUCCAAGGAGACAUUUUCAGGAAUACCUUGUCACCGAAUUGAAAUUCAAUCUCUUUUCGUUUAAGGUCGGCAUAUGAUUUUUGACGAUCGGAAGCUGCUUUUAGACUAUCCCAAAUAACCUUUACUUUUUCUUCUGUUUCCCAGAUCAAAUCAACCCCAUGUAUCUUCCUUUCACUGAGGUUUGUCCAAUAUAACAGUGUUCUACAUUUUCUACCAUACAAAGCUUCAUACGGAGUCAUUUUAAUACUGGACUGAUAACUAUUAUUGUAAGCAAAUACAAUCAAAGGUAGAUACCUCUCCCAAUUACCUUCAAACUCUAGUAUACAACAUCGAAGCAUGUCUUCCAAUAUUUGAAUUACACGCUCAGAUUGACCAUCUGUCUGAGGAUGAAAUGCAAUGCUAAAAUACAACUGAGUACCUAAGGCUUCUUGCAAUUUGUCCCAGAAACAAGACGUAAAUCGGGGAUCUCUAUCUGAUAUAAUAGAGACAAGUACUCCAUGUAGCCUGACAAUCUCAGAUAUGUAUAGUUCAGCUAAUUUAUCUAAAGAAUAAUCCAUACGUACAGGAAUAAAGUGCGCUGACUUUGUCAAUCGGUCAACAAUCACCCAAAUAGCAUCUUUUUUCCUCGGAGACAAAGGUAACCCCGAUACAAAAUCCAUAGUGAUUCUUUCCCAUUUCCAUUCCGGUAUAAUAAUUGGCUGAAAUAACCCCGAAGGUACCUGAUGUUCAGCUUUAACUUGCUGACAUAUUAAACACCUUGAUACAAACUCAGAGAUAUCAUGUUUCAUUCCCGACCACCAGUACAUCUUUUUCAGAUCAUUAUACAUUUUAUUAGUCCCCGGAUGUACAAACAUAGUACCGUUGUGAGCCUCGUGUAGAAUCUUCUAUAUGAGUUCUGAAUUGUGAGGUACACAUACCCUACCUCUGAAUAAUAAACAACCAUCAGAACUAAUCUGAAAUUCAGAAUCAUUACCUGACUCACACUGUGCCCGUUUAACCUGUAACUUCUCAUCAUUCUUCUGAACUUCACUUAUUUGCUAUAAAAAUGUCAGUUUAGCUCUCAAUUCAGCUAUGAUUGAACCAUCAUCAGUCAGUGACAACUGGGUAUUCAUAGCUCAUAAAACAAAUAGAGAUUUUCGGCUCAAAGCAUUAACUACAACAUUAGCUUUACCCGGAUGGUAAUCAAUAAUCAAAUCAUAAUCCUUUAUCAGUUCAAGCCACCUGCGCUGUCUCAAAUUCAAAUCUUUCUAUGUCAUCAAAUAUUUCAAGUUUUAUGAUCAGUAUAAAUAUGACAUUUCUCACCGUACAAGUAAUGCCGCCAUAUCUUCUGUGCAAAUACAGUAGCAGCUAAUUCAAGAUCAUGUACUGGGUAAUUUCUUUCAUGUGGUUUAAGUUGUCUUGAAGCAUAGGCUAUUACUUUACCUUCUUGCAUCAAGACACAACCUAAACCAUUUAAUGAGGCAUCACUGUAAAUAACAAAUUCCUUACCCGGUUCAGGCUGCACUAAUACAGGUGCUUUCGUUAGUAGAUCUUUCAAUCGGUUGAAAUUCCGCUGACAUUCAUCAGUCCAUUCGAACUUUACAUCCUUCUACAAUAAUCGAGUCAUUUGAGAAGCUAUCAUAGAGAAUCCCUGUAUAAAUCUAUGAUAAUAACCAACUAAACCCAAGAAACUUCUAACUUCAGAUACAUUCUUUGGUGGAUUCCAAUUGACAAUAACUGAGAUUUUACUUAGAUCUACCUUGAUGUCUUCGGCAGAUGUGUCCAAGAAAACCCACUUUUCAAAGCCAAAAUUCACAUUUACUGAAUUUAGCAUAUAACUGCUUCUCUCGCAGAAUUUGCAACACAAUUCUCAAAUGUUCUGCAUGUUCUUCUUCAUCCCGAGAAUAAACCAAAAUAUCAUCAAUGAAUACUACUGCAAAUCUGUCUAAGUACGGUCUGAAUAUCCAGUUCAUCAAAUCCAUGAAUACUGCAGGUGCAUUACUUAGCCCAAACGGCAUAACCAGAAACUCAUAAUGUCCGUACCUGGUUCUGAAGGCUGUUUUUGGCAUAUCUGACUCCUUUACCCGUAACUGAUAAUAACCUGAUCGAAGAUCAAUCUUUGAAAACACAGUAGCACCUUUCAGCUGAUCAAAUAAAUCAUCAAUCUGGGGUAACGGGUACUUAUUCUUUAUGGUUACUUUAUUAAGCUGCCGGUAGUCAAUACACAGUCUUAAAGACCCGUCAUUCUUUUUCACAAACAGAGUUGGAACACCCCAAGGUGAAUGACUCGGUCGGACAAAAUCCUGUCAACAAGCUCUUGCAACUGUGUCUUUAACUCCUUUAAUUCAGUAGGAGCCAUCCAGUACGGAGCUAUGGAAAUCGGAGUAGUUCCUGGAAUCAAAUCUAUGGAAAACUCCACUUCUCUUUCUGGUGGCAACCCUGGUAAUUCCUCUGGAAACACAUCAUAAAAUUCACAUACUAUUGGCACUGCCUGUAUCCUUGACUCAGAUACCUUGGUGUCGAGUACAUAAGCCAAGUAAGCAUCAUACCCUUUUUUGACAUACCUUUGUGCUGCCAUUACUGAAAUCACAUCAGAUAACCCCUCUGUCUGAUCAGAUUUAACCCGGAGCAACUCACCAUUCUGACAUUUUAGCACAAUAUAUUUUUGUCUACAAUUUACUACUGCACUAUGCUAGAUUAACCAAUCCAUGCCCAAUAUUACGUCAAAUUCAUCAAAUGGCAGUAACAUCAAAUCAGCCAGGAAACAAUAACCUCUUACCAUCAGUGGACAAUUUUUACAAAUUUUAUCCACCAAAACAGAUUAACCCAGGGGGUUCGAGACUUUAACCAUAAAUUCAGUAGGUUCAACAGAUAAAUUUUUUACAAUUGCAAGUUUAACACAUAUAUAUAUAUGAAUGCGUAGAACCAUGAUCAAUCAAUGCAGUAAUAUCAGUAUCAAGUAAAGAAAAUGUACCAGUAAUAACAUCGAGUGCUGAGGCAUCUUUUCUGGCACGAAUGGCAUAUGUCCUAGCAGGUGAUCGUGCCUCAGACCUGCCUGUAGUAUCUUUCGUAGCUCCUCGGUAACCACUGACAUUACUAGAUGGUUGAGGUGGUCUGCCCCUCGAAACUGGAUUACUUAGCUUCGAUAUCUUCUCAGCUUCUUUUUCACCUCUUUCUGGACAAUCUCUGAGGAAAUGGUCAAAAGAACCACAUCGGUAACAAGCCCCACUCUUUAAUCGACAUUCACCAAAAUGAGCUUUAUUACAAUACUGACAUCUCGGCUUAGGAGUGCCUACACUGCCAACACUGGCCACUGAUGGAGUUGAAGGUAUUGGAUUAGUGCGUUGAGAACCUCGCUCUCUAUCCGAAUACCCAAUGGCUGAGGUAGAACGAUCCUAGUAUUUUUUCAAUUUCUUUGGAGCAGAAAACUGGGAUUUUCCCAUCGGUCUUUUACUAAAAAUUCGAGCUUCCCUCUCAGCCUGUUUCUUUUCUUUGCUCAAUUCUUCUACUUUAUAAGCCCUCUCUUCCAAUGUAGCAAACUCUCAAAUUUCAAGAAUUCCAAUGUCUUCAUUCAACCCUUCUUCGAAUCGUUUGCACAUUUCAGCUUCUAACUGUAACCAUUCUCGAGCAUAUUUACUCAAUCGAACAAAUUCUUUUUCAUACUCAGAUAUUGAUCUGUUACACUAUUUCAGCUCAAGAAAUUCUUUUCUCUUCUUAUCGAGAAACCUCUGACUAAUAUAUUUCUUUCUGAACUCGGUCUGAAAGAAUUCUCAUGUAAUUUCUUCUUUCGGAACAACUGAAACUUUAGUAUCCCACCAAUGGUAAGCUGUGUCUUUUAGCAGUGAGACGGCACAUUUCAGACAUUCUUCUGGUGUACAAGAUAAUUCCUCCAAAACCCGAGUAGUGUUUUCUAACCAGAAUUCAGCCCGUUUGGAAUCAUCAUCAAUUGCUGCUCGAAAUUCUUCGGCCCCAUAUUUUUAAAUUUUAUCUACUGGAGCUUUCCCUUUUCUGACAGAUUCAAUACCUGUACCCUGUGGGAUAUCGGGAACCGGUGGAGGAGCAGGAGGGGGAGCUUGAACUUGCUGCACUACAGGGUUAGUUCUUAAGUAUUGACUAAACCAUUCAUUCAUCAUUUGAAAGAAGACUAUUUUUGCCUCCUCCCCUCGACCCUAUAUCUCGGGCCUUCUCCUGCUAGUUUCUUCUCUUUGUACUGAAGCCGGAGCAUGACUCCCAGCUUCCUCAGAUUGAGCUCGGUCGGUAGACAUUUACUAUAAGAAAAACACAUUUAAAUGGUCAGGAGAUAUCACACUAUCAAUAAUAAUUUAAAUGGCAUGUAUAACUAAUCCCGUAUUUACUAUGUCGGUCCGAGAACCGGCUAAACCGUAGCUCUGAUACCAACAAAUGUAAUACCCCCUACCCGUAUUCAUUGCCGAAAUAGGGUACGAGGUAUUACCGGAGUUUACGAUUUUUUUUAUAUUCAAUAUAACCCUUUUAUAAAUAUCUAACCUUCCCUGUAAUAUUAAAUCGAGACCAAUCCACAUCAACCAAACCAAUUCAACAUAUUUUCAAGAUAAAUUCAUGCAUAUUUAUAAGAUAACGUCAUCACAUACCCAAAACCAAGUUUGUUAACCAUACUAAUGGCUAACUUUACAUUCAUUUCAUGUUAACAUUUACUUUAUUAGCUUAUACAUGCCAUUGAUUUCCAAAAUAAAGUUUCUUUAUAUACCGAAAUCCUGAGGUUGAUAGUAUGAUGUGUCUCCGACCAAAUCCAACCUCCGAGCUCUUAACACUACAAAACAGGGGAAAAUGAAACAUGGUAAGCACUUUGUGCUUAGUAAACUCAUGUAACAAGAAUUAUACUUACCUAAUAUUUUCAAUACAAUACAACAAACAUUCCUAUAUCCAUUCAAUGCAUUAUUACCCUAACAUGCACAAACUCAACAUUCAAGUUAGUACAAUAAUUUCCAUGUACCAAUAAUAUAUACUAUGAUUGAUGAGCUCAUCAAUACAUGAUUUCCAUUUCCUUAUAUUUUUUUUCAUAUUUAUCCCAUUGAAUUUCUUGGAAUUUUCGAUGGAUUUUCAGAGGUACACUUUUAGUGUACAUUUCCAGGUCCGUCAAUUCAUAUUCAUGUGCGCACAUUUCCAUUUCAGAGAGCACACUCCCGCGAACCUCAUCCUUACAGCGGGAUUACCAGUCCAGGCUAAAUCCCAUGUAAUAUAAACUCAUAGAGUAUUGUCGGGAUUACCAGUCCAGGCUAAAUCCCCUGCAACGACAAUUACUCUAAUGAGCUUGGAUCUGAAUUACCAGUCCAGGCUAAAUUCAGACCCUAAUUCAGAUUACCUGUCCAGGCUAAAUCCAUUUUCCACAUAUUCUUCGGGAGGGCUAUAUCAGGAUAAGAUCACCCGUCCGGGCUAGAUCCUUUUUACCGUCAAUUCCUUUUUAGAGAUCCAUCGAAAUUUCCUUUCAUUCAACCGGGAUUUCUUCCCCCUUUUUAUCAAAUAUAUUAAUGUUUCAUCAAUUUUCAUACAAUGAACAUUCAAAUCAUAUUCACAUCAAUAACAUACAUUUCAAGCAUUUAAGAAUAUAAUUCAAGUUACAUGAACUUACCUUGAUACUUGUUCGUGUACAAAAAUCUACUAAUCCUGAACUUUUUCCUUUUCUCGAUCUAGCUUCGUAUUUGAUUCUUCUGGAUCUAAAUAAAUAAAUUUAAUUAUCAAUUUACUACAUUUCAUGUUCAUAUGCAACAAUUUCUAUAAUUUCAUUAUUAUUAUUUAUAGUUUAUUCAAAGCUGUCUAUUUGAGUCAUAGUCAUUAAAUUAUUUAUAACUCAAGAUACGAAACUCCAAAUUAAGAUCCGUUAAUUUUCCAUGAAACUAGAAUCAUAUAUGUUCUUACCAUAAAAUUUUCAGAAUUUUUGGUUAAGCCAAUAAGUACAGUUUAUCCGUUAAAAUCACCCUUGUUCUGCUGUCUGAUAGUUCUGACCCUUCUUCAUUAAAAAUUAAUUAUCUCUUCAUACAGAAUUCAGAUGAUGUUUCCGUUUGUUUUUCUUGAAAAUAGAAUCAUUCAAGAUUCUAUGCAUAUAAAUUUAAGCCCCUAAUUAUUUUUAUUCAAUUUUUAUGACUUUUCAAAGUCAGAACAGGGGAACUCGAAUUCAUUCUGACCUUGUCUCAUAAAAUUCAUUAUAUCUCAUGAUUUACAGAUCCAUUGCUUACGCCGUUUCUUCUAUGAGAAACUAGACUCAAUAAGCUUUAAUUUCAUAUUUUGUUCAUCUUCUAAUUCGAUUUCUACAGUUUAUGUUGAUUUUUCAAAGUUAGUCUACUGCUGCUGUCUAAUAUUAUUUUAGUGCAAGCUGUUUAUUACCAUUUUUCCCCUAAGCUUUUAAUAAAUAACAAUUUCGUCCCUACUCAAUUAGCCUCUCAAUUGAGCUGAUUUUUCUCAAUUAACACUUUAUUCUAUCUCCUUAAACUAGUUUACAACCUUUAGGAAUCAAAAUUUCAGCAAUAAACUUUAAUUCCAAACAUUUUCACAAUUAGGUCCUAAAAAUCAAUUUCUAUUGAAAUUACCUAAUAAAAUCAUCUCAUAAACAAAUUAAAGCUUUAAUUUCAUUCUAAUUCAUCAUAAACUUACAGAACUCAACCAUGGUGACUUUCAAUUUCAUCCAUGAAAUCAAAAACUAAUGAAUUUAAUAGUAGGACCUAGUUGUAAAAGUCUUAGAAACACAAAAAUUACAAGAAAAAAGCAAGGAUUAACUCACUUGGUGCAAAAAUUAUGGAAUACCAGCUUAUAGAACCCUCCUAUGGCGUUUUUAGCUGCUGGAAUUGAAGAGAAAUGAAGAGAAAUCUAGAUAUUUCCUAUUUAGUCCUAGUUUUAUUUAGUUAAUUUUGCAAUAUUCCAAUUUUUCCCUUAAUUUAUCAAUUUUCCUGUUGAUUUCAUGCCCUUGCCGUCCAGCCCAAAUAAAUUUUGGGUCUAAUUUCCUUUUAAAUCCUCUCUCAUUAGACACUUAAGCUAUUUAAUCAUCCCAUCCACUAUUACACAUUUUACAAUUUAGUUCUUUUCAUUUAAUUAACUAUCCAAACAUUAAAAUUUCCUAACGAAAUUUUAAUACCACAUUACUAACAUUUCAUAAAUAUUUAUAAAAUUAUUUUUGACUCGGUUUUAUGAGAUAGAGGUCCCGAUACCUUAUUUUACCCAAUUUUUUCAAUAAUUUCUUUUUCUAACUAACCACUAAAUCGGUAAAAUUUUUCUAUCAAUAUUUUCAUACGAUUUUCCUAUCAUAUCAAUUUUCAUGCAAAAAUAUUGAAAUAAAUUUCUCUUCAAAUCGAAUUUGUGGUUACGAAAGCACUAUUCCGAUAACCUUGAAUUUAGGCUUUUACAAAGUUCUGAGAGUAAGCUCUUUCUAAAAACUUUAUUUUUGUGUUUAAAUAUGUGUUAUAUGAACAGUGAUAUGCAAGCUCUUUAUUGUGAGCUCAAAAUGAACUAGUGCUCUAUGAGCUCCUCAAAAUUGGAGAGCUCUAUGUUGUAAGAAAUUAUUUUGACAAUAAACUUUUUAAUUGUUGGAUAUAAUAGCAUGCCAUAGGAUUGUGAGUACUCACCUUUAUGUUUUGUGGUUUGGGCGAGAGACCUUAGGACAGAUUAGAGAGAUAAUGGAGUGUCAAGCUAAGCUCCACUCAAUGUGACAUGUUGGUGUGUUGAAGAGUGCUUAGCUUUAUGCUACAUUUAUGGGACAUGUUAAGACUCAUUGAGUCAUUCUGAGGCAUUAUAAGGAGAUUCACUUAUCCAACAGUAAAGAACAUAUGAAUAAGUCUAUAUUUUUCGAAAUAUCAUGUUUUACAAUUUAAAGUUGUCUGACAGUAAGUAUUGGCGAACUAGGUUUCGCGUAAGUAUGGCGAACCUAGUUCGCAAGUUCUAUGACCUUACCGAGUUUCUAUUUAACUUAUGUUUUGUGCGUGCUUUAUGGUUAUUCUUUUGUAUUCACUGGGUUCACAAGAACUCACACACUAUUUUCUAUUCACUGAAGAUAGCUAGAUCGCAAGGUGAGCAACAACGAGGCGAGUGAUCCAGGCGAAGUAUACUUGCUAUAAAGGUAGUACAAGCGAACUCUAGAUUAAAGGGAAUAUGGGAAUUCUGCUUGGGCUUAAAGAUAUAAUUCUAUUGACUUUUUCGAUUAUUUUAGGACUUAGUUAUUUUCAUGAUUUCUUAUGUUUUUCCUUAUGUUUUUAAUUGCAAACUAAUAAUGUUUUAUAAACACAUUUGAAUUUUAAAUAUAUAAAUAUGGUCCAAAUUCGAUUGAUGUUUUCUUAAUUUUACAAGUUCACUCUUAAGUAAGUAAUUUAUAAUAUAGUGUUCACCAUAAGCAAUGACAUGAAGUAUUCAAAACUGAAAAAACUUUGCAGAGUUCGCCAAAAUUGCUACAAAGUAAUAAGGUUGCGAACUGUACUAACUGCGAACCUUAAUGAUUGGUGAAUUGCUAUCCACGAACCUUUAGUAGAUUUUGAUAUGUGCUAAAAGAGAAACCCUGCGAACUGUGUUCACGGUAUCCAAACAAAAAGGGGUAGUUUGCCAGACUUACCCUGUUUAAAGAAACUUACCCAUGAAAGUCUUAGAUUGUGUGAGCUAUGCAAAGGAGUGAACCCCUAUGUUAGAUAGAUGAACAUCAAUAUUCUGUGAGGUACAUUGCUUUGCAAAACUUAAGGUUCACAUGAUCUUUAUUUCUUUCUUUCAUCAAAUAUUUAUGACUUCAUGAAAAAAGUAAGUUAAGUUAUUGAGAGCGAAGUAAAGUUCGCAUGUUAUUUCCACUGCAUAAUAUGGAGCAAGCAAAGUGAGUUCGCGAACUUAUGCUUUCUUAAAAUCUAUACAUAUUUUAUGAUCUAACUUGUGGUGAGCUGGAGGUUAGGUUGGGUGUUAAUGAAGAGUCACUUAAAUGGAUAAUAUGGCAUUCCAUAACUCAGGUUUGAUGACUGAACCAUGUAUGGGGUGUUACAAUUUAUGCAUGCAUGGACUUUUGAAACUUAAUAACUGAUAAUUACACGUUAUCUAGCUUAAGAAAAACCGACAUAGUUCAUCGAUUUCUACUACAUUACAAGGAUUUGGAUUUUGAAUAACAAAAUAUCAACUCAGUUGGUUUUCUUAAACUUCGCAAAUGAUGUUCGAAGGAAAACAAUACCCAAAGUUUUCUAAAAUAUCACUAUCGACAAUAAAAUGAAUCUUAUGUAUAGUCCGUUUGAUAAACAGAUGUUUUAAUCUAACUUAAAACAACAACAAUAAUGGUUUUUCCUAAAAUUAGUUGGAUUAGGGUUUUUAAAAGACUAGCGGGUUACUUGGCCAUUUCAGUGGUUAAUGUAGCCUUCUCGGUCAUAACGUCUAGGUUGAGUUAGGGAGGUUAUAGCAGUGGAGCGAGUGAUCCAGCGUAACAUGCCAACUGUAGAGUUUUAACACCCCUAUACCCGAUUCGACCCAAGGAACCUGAUAUAAAAAUAUUACAUUUGGAGCCAAAGUAAUUUUGGCUAAUCACUAAUAUAUUUGAACAUUAAAAAAAAAUAAAGUUUUCAUAACUUAUAUUUUAGUCCUUAUGACUUGAAGCACACUUGAUCUUCCUAAGUACAUGCCAUUCUAUUCAAAAUUUUGAAACAUACCCUCUUGGCACUUGGAGAUGUGAUGAGAUGAAUGCUCACAACCUUAAUUACAACUCUUCAAAAUCACUGUACCUACGCGUUGAAAAUAAACGCGUUAAGUCGGUGAAAACUUAGUAAGUAUCCAUGAUAUUAAAAUUCUAUUAAAUUUCUUAAUUCUCAAUAUCUCAUUUCUUUGUUUAUUUAUCAUAUUCUUUUGUAAAUUUUUACUUAUUUCACAAUUUAGUCCUUUAGGUCCUCAAAUUAACCCAUAAAAAUUACUACUCUUUUUAAUACAUGUAUCAUGUUUCACUGUUUAGUAUAAAUUUUCAUAAUUCCAUCAGUAAUUCUUUCUUAUACUUCCUCAAAUACAUUCAAUUUACUUAUGUGUUCACUUUACUGAUUCAAGAUUUCGAACAUUAAUCGUAGAUAAACCUUUACCAUGUAACGAAAAUUAUUUACCUUUUUAGCAGAGGCCCAGUAGACUAAAUAGAACACCUAGGAUAUACAAAACUGAUACAGAGGUGCAUUAUUAUGCACUAUUAAGUAGAGAGCACUAAAGUGCUAUACAGAGGGCACAAAUGUGCUAAACGGAGAGCACUAAUGUGCUAAUAAUCGGAGAGCAUGCUAGGGUCCUUUAAUGGCAUGCCACUAAUAUCCUAGUAGUUCUAAUCUCGUCUACUUGGGCAAAUUAUAUCAUGCACACAUAUCACUUUUACACUUUUCGCAUAAUGCUUUUACAUACUUUAUAAUUUACUCAUUGUACCAAUAAUCCGUAUACUUAUAUCUUCACUAUCUUUAAUACAUGUAAUAUAUUUCUAAAUUCAUUAUUCAUCCAUAAUUCGCUAAUAAUCCUUAUCAUGUAUUUCACAUAUCACUUUUAUUAUUUUGUAAUUUAGUCAUUAAUACAAUAUUCCAUGUAGCAAUAUAUUUUACUUUUAAUAAAACAUAUAAUUUAAUUCAAUACUUAUUAAUAACCCAACUAUUAUACUUUUAUUAUAAUUUCCUACUUCACAUAGUAAAUUAUUUCACACUAUUUCUAUUUUUAUUUACUUAAUUACCACUUAGUUUACAAAGAUCACAUUUUAAUCCUUAAAUAAUAAGGAAGUUCAUGAGUACUUACCUCUUUUCUAUCAAAAUCUCUUGCUCCUCUUACCACUUGAUUCACUUACUUAACUUCUCUCUUCAUCAACAUGUCAAAAACACAAUAUUUUCCUCAUGAAAAAUCUUUACUUUAACACCGUUUUUAUGUUUUUCUAUCACUACUAAACUUAAAAAAAACAUAAAACCUUAACAUCCAUACCUUAUUCUCUUGAAACCAAACUUUAAUUUGACUUUCUUUCUUCUCUAACUUCUAUUCUCUUGAAUCUAAUUUGAUAUUCUAGCCCCCCAUAGUCUCCUUAUUAUUUUUCUCUCUCGGUGGAUAUAGAAAUUCUUUUGAUUUCAAAGUGAAAAUGAUGGAUUUUUGGUAAAAUGACUAAAUUGUAAAGAAAAGAAAAUUUCUUCCUUUCUUUUAUUCUUCUCACAUUGGAACCAUGGAAAGAUGAAGAAUUCUCUUCAUCUUUCUUCAUUAUAUACCAAGUAAAACUUAAUAAAAUGUCAAAUCAAAAUAUUAAUAAAUUAAUAUUUAUUUAUUUAAUUAAUCUAAAAUAUCACCAACAUCAUCAUUACUCUUCAAAAUAUCUUUCUUGCUAAAUGACCAUUUUUUCCCUUGUGAUCCUUCAAAAUUCCUCCAUUGAAUUAUCACUCAUUUUAAUAAAAUUACAAUUUAACCCUUCAUACUUUUUUACUUGUUCAAUUUAGUCCUAAUUCAUCCAUUUUCCUUAGAUUCUAGAUCCUUUUACCUUUAAAAUAUUUGAACUAUUUUUCUUUCAACUUUUUCAUAUUUAUAUUUAACCCUUCAAAUUUUGAGUAUUUACUCUUGGGUCAUUAAACUUUUCUUACUUUUGUAAUUUAGUCUUUUCUUGAAUUAAUACAUCAUAAUAUAUUUCCUAAAUAGAUUUUUUGACAUAACUCAAACAUUCCCUUUUUGUCACUUUAUUUCCUCAUUUUAUUGUAUCAAAUAUAAUAUCUUACUUUUUUACUGUAGCAACUUUAAGGUUAUUACAAGAGUGGUGGUAGACUUUGUUAGAAAAUUGUUUGAAAAAUAUGUUAAAGUUGACGCUACAAAAAAUAUUUUUUUUCUUUCUAAAAUUGACAUUUGUCGUGGUAAGUAAAGCAAUAAAUUUGAUUGACUAAGUACAUGUAUAUCGAGAACUUUGUGAGCAAGGUUUUCAGAAUCAAAUUAAUUAUCAAAUCGAUCAGUCUACCGGUUCAUUGGUUUGUCCAGUUCAAUUAAACAAACCAUUAAAAAAAAUCUGAUUCAAUCAUUUGAUUCAACCAUUUUUAUGCUCGGUUCAAGUGGUUUGUAUCGAUUCCCGAAUCAAUGGAUCUAAUGACUUUCUCUAAAUCAAUUUUUGGUCCUAUCGAUCUAGUCCGAUUCAAACAACAUUGUCUGUGAGUAGUCUAAGUCAGAAUUACGUUUUCGUUAAACAUUGAUUACAUCUAAGGUAAUAGUUAUUAUAAAAUUUUAUAUUGCUAUAAAAUAAGUUUUGAUUGUUAAAAAAAAUACUUUUGUAAUAUUUUGUAACAAAUAUAAUGAAUGUUAUAUUUACUUACCUAAAAACAAAAUUCAAAAAUAUCAUUAAAAAAAACAAAAUUCGAAAAAUUUAUCAAACAAACUAAAAACAUUUUAUAUAAAACUAUUUAAGCAAUAAAAAAAGAUAAUUAUUCACAUUAAUUAUUUUUUUCACUACACGACUUAAACUUUACAGAUUUCAUAAAAGAUAUUAUUUUAAAUCAACCCAUUUUUCAAAAAUUAUUUUUGAAAAUGGUUUUUAGUGAAACAAACAAAUUAUAAAACUAGCUCGUGGUCCUGACCAUACCUCUUGCUUCACGGCCCAAAUUAUGCUGGGCUCAUGGCUGGGAAUGCCGUCCCUUUUCCCUCUCCGAAAACUUUUAAAAUCUCCAUUUUCCCGGUUAACAAACAUUAUUUUCCGUGAAAAAAAAAAUUCAUCUAAAAGACUAAAGGACUAUAGGAAAAGGAAAAAGAUGGAACCAGUGGUGGCAACGGUGAGUGGAUACCACGGCUUGGAGCGGUUCAACCUAAUCAAGCUCAUAUCUAUUGCCGGUGCCAGUUAUAUCGGCUGUUUGACUCAAUCAACCACUCAUUUGGUUUGUUUCCUUUUCUCUUAGUACUUUAAAAAAAAAUUAAAGGGAAAAUGGGGAAAACUAAAUUUAUUUGGAAUUUAGGUAUGUUGGAGAUUUGAAGGAAGGAAAUAUGAGCUUGCUAAGAAGUUAAAGACGAUAAUCGUAAAUCAUCGAUGGAUUGAAGAUUGUAUAAAGGAAGGAAAGCGUUUGCCUGAGGGUCCUUAUGUGUUGCGAAGGUAUUAAUUUACUCUUUUAGUUUUUAACUGUUGGGAAUUUUUUUUAUUGAUGGAUUUGAAAAAAUGGAUCUUUUAUUUUUUUUUUAAUAUGAAAUUAUGGUUUUUUGCUUGGGUUGUUAUGUUAAAUGGGAUUGAUGAAAUUCAAUUUUUUUUUCUAAUUUUGGUAGAAGAGGCUGACAAUGAUACCUCAAAAAUUUUAAGAAUAAUAUUAAACAUAAAAUGGUUAAGUGUUAGGAGAAGGAGCUUUUUAAUUCAUUGGUUAUGGAUGAACUCAAUUUUGGGAGGAUGGAAAGGUGUGAAUCUACCGUUUGUUUUUUUAUUUUUUCCUAUUUCCUCUCCAGACAGAGUACUGAAUACUAGACUACUAUUUAUGGUUCUUGUCAUUGAUAGAAAUGUGUGUUUAUAUAUUUAUUUGAUGCAUAAUUUCUCUAGAAUUUGAUGAGAACUGUAUUUUAAAAGUGUAUUUUUCAAGUUAGCACCUCAGAUCAGUUCAUCUGUGAGCAGUUUGCUAAUAGAAUCCUUCAAACUUUCUUUGUAGUGGAGAAGAAAUGGGACCUUUGUUGCUGGAGAUUCCUGAUGUUGCUAAGGGAGAUGCCUUGACUAAGAAGUGCAAAGUGUUUUCUGACAAAUCUAAUGUUCAUGAUGGGGUUGGAAAUGAAACAACUAAUGUUGACCGUGGAGCUUCUGGCUUAUCUGGUUGGUCCAAAUCUGCAUUGUUGGAUGAGGUGAUUACAUAAACUUCUCUGCCUCAUUACUUUCUUUCCUUGCCUCGCCUUUUUUCCUGAUUCUUUCUUUCUGUUUAGCACACACCACAGAAGAAUUCAUUGUCAGGGUAUAAAAUUAGUUAGUGCUUCUUUCAGUUAGACAAUUUCAUAGGAGCUGUGCUUGAUAAUUAGUGCUGUAAAGUAUGUCAGAUGAGUUGAUGGCCCUGCAUAAGUGAAUUAUGGAUUUGUUGAACAUGCACUUCCAGGAUUGAUUUGGUUUUGGGCUUUUCUGUUCUUCUUGCCAGAACUGUAAAUAUUUGUACGAGAGACUAAAGAAAAUUUUCUACUUGAAACCUUUGUUUGGUUUUUGCACAUGAACUAUGAAUGUGUGCAUGCAUGUGAGAAUUGAUGGAAUCAAAAGGGGGAAUAUUUUGUUAGUUGAGCUCUGAAUUAUUGACUUGCAAUUAUCAUUAUUGACUUAAGAUAUAAGUGAUAUUAAGAAGCCUGACAUAUUUCUUCUAAGGAUCUUUACUUGAAACCUUUGUUUAGAUGGUUUUUGCACAUGAAUUUUGAGUGUGUGCAUUCAUGUGAGAAUUGAUGGAAUCAAAAGGGGGAAUAUUUUGUUAGUUGAGCUCUGAAUUAGCAAUUAUCCUUAUUGACUUAAGAUAUAAGUGAUAUUAAGAGGCCUGACAUAUUUCUAAGGGUCUUUACUGUCUAGCUUUUAUCAUCUAUUUAUGUUUUUUUUUGUUUUGAAUCUCUGCUUUAUAACAUUGGUAAAAGCAUUUUUUUUAGCAUUUUAUUACUAAUUUUCAAUUUUACAUGUUUUUGUGAUUCAUUUUAAUUUCUGCAGAAUCUUUUUCAAGAGCAUGGGAGAAACAGUUCCCAUAAACUGAAAUCUAAAGCAUUUAGAAAGUCUCCGACGGAGGAAAAUUUGUUUAGUGGUAGCAACUGCUUUCAGGAGACUAGUUCAACUGGAUUUUCUCGGGAGGAGGUAACGAGUGCUAUUGUCUUGUUUUUUCUUCAUUCAAAUUCUUCAAGAUAUUUUCUUAACUUGUUACAGGAUAUUAUAUAGUUUUAGUUGUUAUUCUAAAUUUCUUGACAGCCUUAAUUGGAAAUGGAAGUAUUCAUGGUUUACUAUUUUAACCUUGUUCAUUUAUAGCAUUUUAUCUUUCACUCAUUAGUCUUUGACUUAUACAAGUUCCAUACGGAAUAGGGUAAAAAGGUCACCUGUUUACUAACUUCAACAUUCUUUUGAAAAAAAAUCUACUAUCUGAGUUGGUUACUUUAAUCUGCAAUAUGAGUUUAGAUAUCUUUUUUAAAGGUAACCAGUAAUAUUCUUGAGGUUUGUGCUGAAGUUAAAAACUAAAUCUUCAAAUUUUAUGUCAUUGUAUGGAUUUUUAAGGAAUAAUUGCCCAGGUCAUAUUUUCUUGACUUUGCUUUUUUGCUUUAUCCGGUUGAAAAGCAUGAAGAGUUGUUUUCUUAUGCUUCGGUGCCUCCAAUGAGGAACAAAAGGAAGAUCUCAAAGAACAAAGAACCAAGUGCUCAUUGUUCCGCUCAGCUGAUGAGGGAAGAAAGAGAUAUUCCUAAUGGUAGCAGAGGCACUUCUUUGGCCGAAUCUUCUAAGAGAAAAGGACGGAGGCUUGUGAAAAAUGUCAAUAGAGAAUCAGUAGUGUUUGACAUUUCAGACUCUGACCAAGAGUGCCAUCCACCCCUCAGAGUACAUAAGCCAUACGUUGGAGUUACAAGUCCAUCUGGGCAUUCGCUUGAUAGGAUUGUUAGUUUAUCUCAAAUUGGAGGACCAUCUUAUCGUGACUUCAGUGAGCAUAUCAGAUUAGAUGAAGAAAUUGAAGAAGUUGAGGAGAUCAAAUUGAGGAAUAAGGGACCUCCUUCCAAUGAUUUAACUUCACCAGGGAAGGGUGCACAACCUGUCUCUGGAAGAACUUCACCAGAUAGGUGCUCUGAUGCUGAGAGAGAGAACCAAGAUGUUACUUCCAGAUUAUCCACAUCAAUGAAUUUAUCUUGUGUUAUAUGUUGGACUGAGUUUAGUCCAACAAGAGGGGUUUUGCCUUGUGGACAUCGAUUUUGUUAUUCAUGUAUCCAAGAAUGGGCUGACAAAAUGGUAAACAUUCUUCUUCUUCUUUUUAAUUCAUAUGUAUUUUUGCUGGGACUCCCUUAAUUAUUAUUAGUAUCCUACAUGAAUGCUAGGUUAGUGUUUUAUGAUUAUACUUCAAGUUAUAUCGUUUUUUCCCCUAAUGUCCUAUCUUGAACUUGAUCCAAUUUGAAAGUGUUCUUAUAUUAAUUGUGGUGCAUGUAGACUUCAAGGAGAAAGGCUCCAUGUUGUCCCUUGUGCAAGGCAAUUUUCAUGAGCAUCACAAAAGUGGAGGAUGCAGCCAUCUCAGAUCAAAAGAUUUUCUCCCAAACCAUUCCUUGUGCCACAUCAACAUUGGAUGUUUCUGUUAUUUCUGAUCAAGAAAGAACUGGUUUUGGUGCUCAGGUAGUGGAUACUCUAAUACUAAAAGUUAUAUUGCUUGUAUCUUUGUGGCAUUAAGCCAUGCUUUAUGCUGUUUCUGCAUAGCAUUUUAAAAUCAGAAAUAGGACACUUAGGUGGCUCUGGUGGUUGAUGAAAAUUGAAAGGGAAAAAUGCAAUUACAUGGUAUAGAGGUUUGGAAAGGCUAAAUGGAACAAACACGAUCACAAGCAUAAACUGGUGUACAUAAUUAGGUAUUACUAAGUGUAUGCCUAUCAUCUAGAGUUGAUGGCAUUUCAUUUUGUGUGAUUUACGGCACAACACGGUUAAAGAGAUGCUAGACAAAUGUAAAAUUGGUUUUGACCCUAUCCAAACAAGGCUUCUCCAUUGAGAAGAUAUUUUAUUUUCUGAAAACUCUUCUGUGCUGCACUGCCAAUGGAUGUGAAAAGUUUAUCGUUAUCUUGCAUAGUCAGCGACGCAAAACUAGUAUUUUCAGUAGAGCCACCACUGUUACAUUAUAUGUCAUCUAUGUUUCUCUGACUUUCAUUUUUCUUAAAGUAUCUGCGUCAAACAUCUGUCUUAACAUAUAUUUAGAUACGAGUAUGGGCAUAUUGUUCUCCGAGGACCCUUCUAAUACAUUAACACACAAAAUUGGACAUUUCUGUGUCAGACACAUACACUCACACCUCAGUCCAAGUAAAUUAGCAUUUCAUCCAUUUUUCUUAGUUGCUUGCACUUUGCUGACACUAAAAACUUUGCAUUCUUAUGGUACUUUGUAGUUCGAUUCUACUGAAUUGAUUUUGUACAUUUUUUGGCCAUUUAUUUUUGCAGUCCUCAGCAGCUUCUGUUUGCAUCAAGUGCCGUCUGCGAGAACCCGAGGAUCUUCUUAUCAGCUGUCAUUUUUGUCAGAUACGAAAUAUCCAUAGAUACUGUCUUGAUCCUCCUUUAUUACCCUGGACUUGUAUUCACUGCCAGGAUAUUGAGAGGCUCAACCCUUACAUCUUCUAAUAUACAUGAAACUCCAUGAUGGUAAUGCAUCCAGAACAUGUCAUCUUUGACAGUGUUGUCUCUAACAUUGAUGUCGUAUAUUCAGUACUCAAUUAUAUAUAUUAUAUUACUGGGGAUGGUUAAGCCUUCUUUUUUUGGAACAAGAGAUUCUUCAUUCUUGUCUACAUCUAUAGCUGUGCCCUUUCUCGAUUACAUGAUAAUGUUGGAUACAACAUGAUCAUAGGAUAUGAAUUUAACAUUGAGAAAAAAAAAUAAGUAACGUUUGACACAACAUGACAUGAUAUAAGAAUGUGUAAAAAUCUGUCAAAAAGUUAACAUUGAUACGAUACCAAUAAACAGAAUGUAAUAGUUAAAACUGUGCUGACUUCGUAAGAGUUUGGCAUUUCAGCGGGAACAAUUGGUUGCAUUGCCCCAUUACUGUCAAUCCAUCCCUGUAGUUAUCAACAAGUCUUGAUUCCAAGGUUUCAUCAUUAUCAUCAUCAAGCAGCAGAGUUGACGCUUGUGCUUUCAACUCUUGAAUAUCAAAAGUCCAGGCACUAAUUCCCUUUGGGUACUCUCUCAUUGAUCUUGCUUCAUAUUCUGCUGCAGAUGCCAUAUUCUUCGAAGAUAGUUGUUGUGCAGAUUCACUGUUCUGAAUCUGAAGGACUUUCACAGGAUUUAGCGGCGGCCGGAAAUCAGCUAAUAACUUCUUCAGAGAAAGCUCAGGAGGUUUGGCAUGCUUGAAAAAUGAGUGCUUCAACAAUUUCCCUGCAGUAUGCCUCUUCUUGGGAUCUUUCACCAGGCACAUGGCCACCAUGUCUUUAAAGGACUUGGAGAAUUUCUUAUCACCAAGUCUUGGAGGAGCAUUCUGUACCGUCAUGAGAAGCACCUUCAACGGCGGAUAUUCGGACAAUGGUGGAUGACCGUGGGCGAGUUCCAACGCUGUUAUCCCAAACGACCAUAUAUCAGCUUUAGAAUCAUACCCAGUUUCUGCUUGCAUAACUUCGGGUGCCAUCCAACAAGGCGUCCCCGUAAAAGUAUUUCUGCAGCGUUGCCUAUCUCCUGAAUCGAACAUGCAAGCCGAAACCCCAAAAUCAGAAAGUUUAACGGCGCCAUUGCUAUCGACCAAUAUGUUGCCGGCUUUGACAUCCCGAUGGAUAUGUCCUUGUCGGUGGAGAUAAUCCAAAGCCUUGAGGGUUUCUUUCAGGAUAAAACAAAUCUCGAUCUCUUCUAACCCAUUGGGAUGAGCUUUCUUCAUGGCGUGUAAGCAAGAACCCACCGACACAAACGGCAUCACCACCCACAAGUUACGAUCUACAACGAAUGACGAAUACGCUCUGACGAGAUUGGGGUGAUCAACGCAACUCAUCGUCUGAGUUUCAAGGCGUAUGUUUUCCAGGCUACCAUUGUUGCAGCGAUCCAGAUCCAAGCACUUGACGGCCACCACGGCGUUUAGAGGAAGGUAGAAGGCUCUAUAUACCGUAGCGCUGCCGCCAUUGCCUAUCUCAUCCAGAAGCACAUAAUCGAAACGGUUAGCAGAGUAAAUCCUUUGAACAUCAGCCAUAGUGUUGGUGAAUCCGGUUGAAAAACCCAGAUUGAUGAACAAAUUUGCUUUGAAAAUUCCCUAAGUUAAUUAUCUGAUUGGAUAGCAAGUUCUUUUUUCCAAAUAACUUGAAGGAUGUUCUAUAAAUACUAAUAUAUCUCAAACUCUUAUUCAGUAUCAUAGGAGGGGGUAGUUUAGAUAUUUGACCAAGUCAAUGGGAAUUUGACCUGCAAAAUAAUAAUAAUUAUAAUAAUAAUAAAAGCCUUUUAAUAGAUACCAAUUAUUUGGGCUUUUUGAAUUAUAAGCAUUUACGUUUUUAAAUAUAAUUUAAAUAAACCAUUUUUAAUCUAAAAUAAUCUUAUUCAAUUGUUUAAUAUAAUUAAAAGAAGUUGAAAGCAAAAUUAAAGUUGGAACGAAAUUAAUAAUGUUUCAAUGGGUGUAAUUCAAUUUUUAUUAAAAUUUCAUCUAUUUAAUUUUUUUAUAUAAAUUUAAUCUAAUAAUAAAAAUAUUAAAAUAUUGUUAAGCAUGAACCAAAGAUAUGGUUUUAGUUGAAGCAAGAUACUUCCCCACUUUUUUAUUAUGGCCAACUAUAGUCAUAUUACUAAACAUAAAUAGUCAUACCAGUAUAUUAUUAAAGUAAUUAAUAAUAUACUAAUAUAAUUUGUAUUAAAAAAUUAUAAUCAUUAAUUAUCUUUCUAUUGAAUAUGAGGGGAAUUUAGAAGAAAUUGAUAAUAAUUUAAUAUAUAAUUAUCUUUUUAUUGAAUGGUGCCCAAACAUUUUCCUUUCUCUAUUUCUACUUUAAAUAUAUUAAUUUGAGAAUGCUAAACUAGAAAUCAAGUCUUGGGUCGAUUACAUUUUUUUUUAAAUGGGUUAGUAAUUUUCUUUACAUUUAUUUUAUUUUAUACGAAAUAAAUUUAAACUAUAUUAAAUAUUAUUAAUUUAUACCAAAUAUUUUUAAAUUAUUAUGAAUUAUUCUUUUUUUUAAUAAUUUCAUUCUCUCAACAAAUAUUCAAGCAAUGAGACCUUGUCAUUAUUAGUUAAGACAAAGAUUGUAAGUACUUAAGUAUUCAUGUUUGAGUUACAUUAUACAGAAUUGAGAUAUCUGGAUCUCUAAUCCCAUCACAUGUAAUGUUGAGAUCAUUUGUUAUGUUUAGUGCUGCUUUAAUUCUAUUGACAUGUAUAUAUAUAUAUAUAUACUCUAUUUAGAAUAAUUUUUUUGGUGAAUAAUAAUAUGAAAAAUAUAUAUAUAUAUAUAUUAGGCUAAAAUGAACAAAAGUAUCAGAAGCCUUAUCUCGUUUAAGAGUGUCAAAGAACUCCCCAGGCACAUCUUCAAUUAUCUGCAUACCUUUCUUUCAGAGGCGAAGUCAGAAAUUUUUUUUAGGAGGGGCCAAAAUAAAAUUUUAAUUUUUAAUAGUCUAUAUGUUAUAAUUUUUAAAGGAUUAAAUUAAAUUUUCAUAAUUUUAGGGGGCCAAAGUGUAAUUUUAUCUUUACUAAUUUAAAAUUUUAAAAUUUUUCUAAAUGAUCAAAACAACAUUUUUCCAUUUUGGGGGGGAGCCUUUGCCAGCCCCCUUGAAUUCGCCUCUACCUCUUUCCCAUCAGAAGACAAUGUGACAAUAAGAUUAGUGACUUGAUUGCUUUCCCUAGGCACAUGCCUUAUCACUUAAUGGUCCUUACUCUAUAAUAACUGCUUAAUUCGUUGAAGUAAAGCCAAAUUCGAAGACACGAAGUCACCUUCUUGGAUAGUUUUGACAACCUUCAAGCAAUCUGCUUGCACCAAAGCCUUAUCAUAUAUAGCCCAAUUAUUAUUUAUAAAUUAAAUAUGAUUUUAGAAUAUUUUUGAAUUAGUAAUAUAUGAUUUAGAAGAAUUUAUUAGGUAAAAUGAUUUCGGAAACGAGGAAUCGAGACCUCAAUUUCAUAAACCGAGCCGUAAAUAUUUUUAUAAAUAUUUACGGUGUAUCAUUGAGUUAGUAUUAAAGUUUCGUUAGAAAAUUUUAACGUUUUAAUAAUUAAUUAAUUAAAAAGGACUGAAUUGAAAAAGAUGUAAAACUUGCUAAAAUGAUUAAAUAGUUUAAGUGUUUAGUAAAGGAUGACUAAAAGGGCAAAUUAGCCCAAAGUGGGAGGCUAGACGGCAUAAGCAAAGAAAAAUUAAAGGAAUGGUGUGAACAAGGGGUAAAAUUGGAAAUGAAAUAAAAUUAAAUAGUUAAAAAUGAGACUAAAUUGAACCUGUAGACAUUUCUUCAUAUUUCUUCAGCCAAAAACACCAUAGAAGGUCCUUAGAAGCUGGUUUUUCAUAUUUUUUUUUUCAUCAUGUGAGUUCAAAUCUUGCUCUUUUUUUUGAAAUUUUUGUGUUUUUAAGAUUUUUACAACUUGGUCCAAUUGUCUAUUUCAUUAGUUUUGAUUUCAUGGGUAAUUUUGAAUGUUUCCAUUGAUGAGUUCUGGAUGUUUAUGAUGAUUUAACAUAGAAUUUAAGCUUUAAUUUUGUCAUAUGAUGAUUUUAUUAAGUAAUUUCAAUAGAAAUUGAUUUUAGGACUAAAUUGUGAAAAGAUUAAAUCCUAGGGUUUGGUAUUAAAUUUAUUUAUCAAAGGCUGUGUAAUAGCUUAGAAUAUUUAGAUAAAGUAUUAAUUGAGAAAAAAUAGCUUAUUUGAUAGGCUAAUUGAUGAGGGACUAAAUUGCAAAAAAUUGUAAAAGUUAGAGUAUUUGUGCAAUUUAAAAAAUUGAAGAGUAUAAAUUGUGAAGUGAACUAGAAUUGAAAUAUGUGUUAAUGAAUGAAUAAUUUUACAUUUUAGAUCAAGAGUCUGUAGAUUAACGAGAAAAAGGGAAACUAGCAGAAUAGUCCCUAACUACUACAAAUUCUACAAAUCUACCUCAGGUAAGUUUAUAUGGUUAAACUUUUUAUGUUUAUUUAUUAUAUUAGUGAAUGUUCUUAUGUAUUUAUUCAUGUCUAAUGUUGAAAAUAAAAUUAUUGUUGAAUUAUGAAAUUGAAAUAAAUGUUCAAAACGAGUGGAAUGCUGAUUGAGUAUAUUCGUUUUGUGGCAAAGGACGAAUUGACGGAUAAAAUCAUGGUUAGACCAUGGCAAGUUUAUAUGUAACACCAUAUCUGGGCUAUGGCAUUAAUGUAAAGGAUGAAUUGACGGAAAAGACCAUAAUUGGGUUAUGGUACUACGAACGUAAGACCAUGGCGGUGAUUAAAUACAAGACCAUAGCUGAGCUAUGGCAUUAUGAUGAUAAGACCAUAACUGGGUUAUGGUACUAUGAAUGUAAGACCAUGGACAGGCCAUGGCAAUGCAUGUGUAAGACCAUAAUUGGACUAUGGCACAAAGAAUACGAUGUACUCACAUCCGUAAUCAUUCCUUGAUUCUGUAAGAAAUUGGCAAAAGACUUAUAUGAAUGAAUUGAAAGAUAUAUUGAUUAAUAAUGUUAUUGAUCUGAUGGAAAUGUGUUCAUUAAUUUAUGUUGUGUUUGACAAGGAGAAUGUAUGAUUUAUUUACAAUUUAGUUUAUUAUAUUAAGUUCGGUAAGAUCAAAGUUUAACCUAAUGAACUUACUAAGCUUCAUUAAGCUUACUUGUGUUAUUUAAUGUCUUUGUAGAUUAACGUGAAAUCGGAGGAUCGGAUCAACACAUCAGGUCACACUAUCUAGAUUGCUCCAGUAAAUUUUUGCUAUACAUUCUAUGGUUUAUAUGGCAUGUAUAAGGCUGCUGUAGAAAAGAACUAAAUUUGAAGUAUGGUUAUGAAUGGCAUAUGUAUACAUAUUUGUAUGCAUGUAACUAGUAGUAAAUUUUGGUAAAUUAAUGAAUUGAACUAUAUAGUAAGCUUAGGUAAUUAGUUUUGUAAUGUUAUGGGAUGUAUAAAAUAUGAAUUUGGCUUGUUUUGUUUGCUUGAUUGAGGCUAUUUGAUUUAUUGAAAUGUUAUAUAUAGGUUGAUAUCAUAAAGGGUGAGAAAAGUGGCUUUAAAAUGACUUAUUUUCGUCCACAUGAGCGUGUGUCUUAGCUGUGUGUGUCACACGGCCUGGCACAUAGGCGUAUGGUCGGCCGUGUGUCCCCUGCACCUUAAAAUUUCAAAAUAGAAUGCCUAGGUUUUUACACACGGCCUAGCACACGGGCGUGUGGCUUAGCAAUGUGACCUCUGCACUUUGCACAUAGCCUAGCACUCGGGCGUGUGGUUGGUCGUGUGACCCAAGUCAGUAGCUACCCUAAUUUGAACACGGGCUAGGACGCGACCAUGUGCCUCACAUCGAAUGCCCAUAUGAUCUAAGACAUGGGCGUGUGUCCCUUGUUCCUAAGAAAAAUUUUAAUAUUUUGGGAAAAAUUUCCUGAGUGUCUAGUUUAGUCCCGAUUCACUUAUAAAGUGUAUUUUGGGCCUUGAGGGCCCAUCAAAGGAACAAUAUGAGUAUUAUAUGAUUGAUUCUUGAUCUGUAUAAUAAAGGUAAUGAAAUAUUCGUAAUUAGUCCGUAAAGUCUAGUAAUGCUCCGUAACAUUAUUCUGGCAACAGAUAAAAGUUAGGGGUGUCACAUAUCAUGUCCCUUUUUUUUUUGUAACAGGAGUAAACUAUCCCAUAUACCCCAUAAGUCAAUAUAAAAAAUGAAUAAUUAUCGAAAGCAUGGUUACAAUUAACAACCCAAUAUAUAGAUUUGAUUUUAAUAGGUAUUUUAAUUGUAAAAGUUAGAUAAAUAUUAUUUUAAGGAAGUGAGAUAAAUCUUUUAUUUUAUUUUAGGUUUAUAUAUGUUUUAAUUUCAAAACACGUUAUUUAAUUUUUCAUUAAUUUUGAUAGUUUAAUUUUCUUUUUCUUAUGUUAAACUUAAACAUCAAAUAUUAAAUUAAGAUACAAAUUAGUUAAUAUUUUAUCACCGACAGUGAGUUGAUUACAUUUACAAAAGUAAUUUUAAAAAUUAUUCUUCUUUUUUUUAAUAAAAAAUUCUCUAGGCUAUGUUAAAAUUCAUCUCUAAUAUUCUUUUGCUUCACAUCUUUUAAAGUCAUAAAUUUCAAAGAAAAAAAAUUCACAAAAUUAAUUAAAAAUUAUAUAAUAUAUCAAACUAAAAUUUAUUAUUAUUCGAGUUCGGCUCGUUAGAUCAGAAAUUGAAUUUAAAAAAAAUUAGUUAUUAUAAUAUUCAUUACCAUUAUUUUUGGUAUGUAAUAAUGAAUGCAUAAUAAUUAUAUUAUUAAAAAUAAUUUUAAUGCUAAGAUUAUAAUUUCAAUAGUUAAAUAUUGAAUUUUUUUACCGUAAAAUAAAUAAUUAAUUGAGAAAAAAAAUCAUUUUUCAAUUAGGGAAGGGGUAAUUUAAGAAUUGAAUUCAAAAUUAUAUGAAUAAAAAAAAAAUAGGUAUAAGUCCUUUAUCAUUCUAUUUAUGAUUAUAUUAUAUUUUAAUUUGAUCCAGUAAUAUAUUUAAAAAAAAUCCUUAACUAUUAUAUUUUAUUUAAACAAGCCUUUAGAUUAUUAUUUUUAAUUAAAUAAGCUUUAAACUAUGAUUUUAUGUGUAAAAUUCUUGAUUUUAUUAUUAAAGUAAAAUUAUUUUGAAUUUCAAGCUCAUAUAUCAAUUUCUUGAUGAUGUAAUGGAAAUCAUAUACACUUUAACAUCAACAUAAAAUUUUAAAAAGAGUAAUCAAAAUUUUCAAAGUACUUUCAAGAAAUUUUAAAAUAUUAUUUGUCUUAAUUUUCUAUUUAAUAAAUAAUUCUCAUCAAAUUCACAUCCGCAUAAAAUGAAAAUUAAUUUUAAAAUUCAAAAUAUUUUUACUUUAAUAUUAAAGUGAAGAACUUUCAUGAGUGAAAAAUGAUAGGUUAAGAACUUAUUUAACCAUAAAAAUAAUAAUUUUAAAAAGGGAAUUUUUAAUAUAUUACCCUAUAUUUUUAUAAAAGUUAUACCCAUUUUGGAAGGAUAUAUUACAUUUAUUAUAUAUUUUCUUAAGAGAAUCAAUCUAAAUCUUUUUCUGCUUUUUUUUUUCAUAAUCUAAAUCUUUAUUUUGAAAUUGUAUUAUGAUUAAUUUGUAGAAUCUUUUUAUUAUAUAAAUGAGUUGAGGGUAUAAAAUCUGUUAUAAUUAAAAUUAAUAAUAUAUAUUUAUAAAUUAUGUAUUAAAUAAUUAUCAUUCAUAAAAUAUUAAAUUAUGUCACACUUACAAUAUGAGUAAAAAUUAUAUUUAAAAAUAAUUUAAUUAUUAAUUAAGUCAUAAAUGAAGUAAUAAUUAAAAUAUGAAAUAAUUUUUUUAGAUAAACUCAUUUUAUUUCAAAUAAAUAAAUCAAAACAUGAUUAGUAUUGUUUAUUCAUCUCUUUUGUUUGAGUUUUAAAAAUUAAAAUUAUUAGAACAAAACUAUAUAAUAACAAAAUUUUUAUAUUAAACAUUUAUUUUAUAAUUAUUAUUUAAUAAAUUUUAAUUUAUUUACUUAUUAUAAAAUUUUUGAUUAGAAAAAAAACUAAUAUACCCUAUCUUUUAAAUAAUAACUAAUAUUGUUGUUCUAUAAAAAAAUAUUUUUUUUAUUUUCAUACUUUUAUAUAAUCUUUAAAUAAAAAAAUAAAAAAUCACACUUCCAAAGAUCAAACACAUGUCUAAUAAUAUUUAUUUACAAAUUCUUUAUCACUUCGCUUAUGGUCAUUGAUGAAUAAAUUUUAGAAGAAAAUAUUUUUUGAGUCAAUAUUUGGUACAUGAGAAGUAUACUUAUUUUAUUCCACAAACAUCUUUAAAAAAUUACCACGUGUAUAUUUUUUUCUUAAAACAUUUAUUUUUUUUAUGUAUUUUAUUAGUCUUAUAAACACUCGCUGACCCUCUUUUAGAGUCUACAAAUUCCGCUGACAAUAUACCAAAAAUUUUCAUAUUUUUUUGACAUAAAAUAUUUUCUUUCUAAUUAAACAUAAUAUAUUAGAGGACAAAGCCGCUAUGCGGGCUAUAUUACUGCUAAUUUACAACUUUAUUUGAUAUAUUUAAAUUAAAUAAGGGUGAGAUUACCUUACGAGUGAAAAAAUAUAUUUAUAAAGAUAACGAAAAUAAAAUAUUGAUUAAAAUGAUAAAAUUGAAAUUUUAAAAAGAUUGUUAUAUUGAGUUUAAAUCUGAUUAUUUCAUAAAUUUUAUAUUAAAAUAUAAAAAUACGAAAAUAUCUCUAAAUUAAUAUUUAUUAUUUUAUAAAAAAGAGAUAUUUUAAUAAUUUAUCAACUAGACUGAUGUUGAAUUAAGUGAAUUGUAGGUUUUAAAUAUAAUAUUAGAUAGAUAUAAUUCCAAGUCAUUUUAGAUUUUUAGAAAAGAUAUAGAUAAAAUAAAAUAUUACAUUUAUUGUUAAAAUAUUUUAAUUUUCAUAUUAAGUUUUUAAUUAGAAAUAAUUAUUUAAUAUAGCUCUCAUUCAACAAUAUUGUUUAUUGUCUUUAUAUUAAAAUAAACUAUUUCAUAGCUAAAUUCAUAUUAAAGUUGAAUUAAACCAUUUUUUUAUCGUCAUAAGACAAUAAAUGGUUGCAAGUAAAAGGAGAAUUGAUAUCCCAUAUUAUCAAGAAUACAAAUUGAGAAAUGUGGCUUUUUUAUAAAAAAAAAUUCAAAACUUUUGAUUAUUUAUAAAAAUAACUCUAAAAAUUAUGUACAUAAAUAACCCUUUUUGAACAGUAAAUAUCGUUAACGUAAUUGCUAUUGGCACCACCACCUCUAGUUUGAAAAAUAUAUAAUUUUUUUAGGUAUCGACGUUGCCUUUGGCAACACCAAUCAAGGUCUAUCCCCUUUUAAAAAUUUAAAUUUAAAUAACCCUUAAAAAUAUAAAAAAUAACAAAAAUAAACUAUUUUUAAAUUUUAUUAUUAUUUCUAAAAACAAUAAACUUAAAAAACUAUAUAAAUUUCUUAUUUAAAUUACCUAAAUAUCUCUCUCAAAAAUUUUCCUCAAGUUUUAAGUAAGAAUUUUUUACUUGAGUAAAACUCUUAGGGAUAUGUUUGGGUAAUUUAAAUAAGAAUUUUAUAUAUUUUUUAAGUUUAUUAUUUUUUUAAAUAAAAUUUGAAAGGGUUUAUUUUUGUUAUUUUUAUAUUUUUAAGGGCUAUUUAAAUUUAAGUUCAAAAGAGGAUAGACCUAACAUACAAAUAGAUCAAAAGUUUAAAAUUAUUUAAUUGGUGCCGCAGGAAGAAUGACCCAUCCUUUUUUUCAUCCAAUCUAAAAGAGUAAUUACUACAUCAAGUCCCUGAACUUUUUACAUAAAUAUAUUUCAAUCCGAUGCUGCUAAUGGCAACGACAACAUAAAAAAAUGUAUUUUUUUUUAAAAAAAUGGUGUCACCGAGUUUACUAUUCAACAUAAUUUUCAAAGUGAGUCAUUUUUGUACAUAAGAAAAAAAAUUCAGGUCAUUUUUAUAAAAAAAUGCAGAGAAACGUAGACAAAGACCUUUAUCUCGCACAAGACAUUGCCCCAAAAGGCUAUGAUGGGAGAAAGCAAGCCAUCAUUGUUUCCUCAUCGAUAAAAGAAAAUCCUGACACAAAACUUGGAUAUCCUUAGCCAUAAAUAUGAACAAAACCUUGAUGCAGUGAGAUUGUUGCCACCAUAGUAGUGAAAACCUGUUUGAAUUAAAGAGUAGAAUUUUUUUGAUUUGUUUGUUCAAAAUAUAAGUUAUUUUGAAUGUUGCUAGAAACAUGAAUCAUUCUAAAAUAUAUAAUUUGAAUGAUUCAAAAGAUAAGUUGUUUCCAUCCGAAACAAAAACACAGAAAAAAGAAGGGAUUUUCAGAAAUUAGGAUCAUUUGACUUGAAUUACCUUGCUAAUCUGCGAUCAGACGCAUUAUCUUAGUAAUCAAGAAGAUUUUUGUUUUCAGCAAUUUCGGUUCGUUUUCAACUGUUCUUAAUAUGAUGUUACAGUCCAAUGGAUGUAACACAUUUCAAGAUGUGAAAUUUCCUAGCAACACUGCAAAACAAUCAUAACUUUCGUAACUAUAAAUAAGAACAGGGCCUUCCAUAAUGAAAAAGAGAAACUCUAGGAAUUCCAGAGCCAGUGCAUGCAUAUCUCUUCAGCUUCUUCAUUCUAAUCUCCCUAAGCAAUAACUUUACCCUGUGGUAGCAAUGAAGUGAUGGGACUGUAGAUUUUCAAGCAAAAAAUCUGUAGCUGCUUAUCCUCAAUGAGCGGAGAUAAGAAUCUUUUAACUCCAUGUUCAUGUUCUUCACAUGGAAAUGUCACUAUGCUCAACUUCACUGAUGCUGCUCUAAUUAGCCAAAUGUUUGCAUAUGGAUGAUCUCAUCAUGGUUCUGCAAAAUUUCAAGCAAUGGCACCAUUGUCUUUUUGGAUCUUUCUUUCAAUCAUCUUUCUGGCACCAUUCCCGACAGCCUCGGUUUCAUGUCUGAUUUCCAUGUUUUAGAUUUGUCACACAACAGAUUAACUGGAGCUAUUCCCGAUACCUUUUGAGGGUUUGCAAGUUUGCUUGCUUAACCUCUCUUAUCAUUCUCUUCAAGGCAGGCUUCCAGGAUCAUCGGGGCUAGUCUCAUUUCUUACUCAAAUAAUAACCUCACUGGUCCUAUUCCUUCAUCUGGACAACUUACUACAUUUCCAGCAUCCAGGUAUGAAAACAACCUAGGGCUACGUGGGAUACCAUUGCCCCAUGAUUUCUGAUAUAGGCAGGAAAAACCAUUCCAUGCUGAGAAAUGUGGAUUGGGUAUUGGUUAUUGCUGUGGUGGGAUACAUUAUUGGUAUAACAAUUGGAGUUUAUGUUGGAAAUGUCUUGUUUCAAGACAAAGAGGAAUGGUUGGUGAAGACAAAGGUCACGAUCAUCUCAAAAUUCAAAAGAACCAUUAAAUGCUGAAGAAUAAUAGAUCAAACAUCCAUGAAAAUUGGGAGGGGCUGGAAUAUAAACAACGGUUUUUAAUGGAAUUUCUUAAUUAGUUAGCUAGGCAGUUAAACCAUUUCUUUCUUUUCUAUUUUCCUACUAAAGAGGCCCUAGCCUGGAGUUAGGGAAAGGGGUUUGAAGUUUUAAGUCUGCUGAAUGCUACCUCUAAACUGAAGUAAGCUCAGGGUUCAAAUCCUCUUUGAUAUUACUACAUAUCAGUGCAUGUAUACUUUGCGUUCUUAUUCCUCUUGGAAGGUUGUCCAGCGUUUUGACUGUGAAUGUCAUCUUCAUUAAGAACCUAAGCAAUCAUAAAUACCUUCCUUCCACAAUCCUCCCUGCUGGUUGUCGCAGUGCAAUGGGUAUAUAUGUAUUAAUUGAAUUAAUAAAGCAAAAGUUCUGCAGAUGGAUAAUUUAACUCCAUGUGUAAAAUUUUGAUCUGAUGUAAAGACAACUUUGAGAAUAGUAUUGCAGAUGGUUAAAACACUAAGUUCAUACAUACCCCAAUUAUCAUCAUGUAUUUGAAAUCUAGACAACUACUCUAUGAAAAACUUCUUCAUAUAUUUGAAAUCUAGAACAAAUACAAAUAUUUUAUGAAAGUUAAUGCGUUCAAGUACCACAGGCAAAGAUAUUAAAGUUCUAACAAAUUUCCAUAGAUACAAUCCAACGUUUUGAAUUGCAAAUAAUUAUAAUAAAGAAACAGUGGAACAACUCCACUACUCUCAUCACCCCAAAUCCAUUGGAGAACCCCCACAAGCAUAAGUUUACUCAAUGAGAAAAGCUAUCCUUCUACUGGUCACUUGAAUAAAAGAAGUUUCCAGUUGCUUUACUAUUGUUAUUUCCUACGCCGGAACUUCCUUUUUUGAUUUCCAGAUAACAUAUAUUGAAUUGAAUCAUAUGUAUUCAUCAGCAAAGCAAAUCUGAUUUAGGAUCCAUCCGGUGGGCAAUGAGAUUGAUUAUUAUAAUUGUGAGAUUAAAAUCAAUGAUGAGAUUGCAAAAGCAGCAGAGGUAAUGAGGUGUGCUUGUCUACUGAUGAGACAACCUACGCCACCACCAAUAUUUUAUCCACACAUUUCAAUAGAAACAGCCAAAAUGAUAGUGAAGAAGUUAAAGCAGAAUUCGCGCUAAGUACCUGUAGGAACAUUUUAGAAGCCUGGUCAUGUGGUUCGACUAAGCUUUAUAACCUCCUCCAGCAAUUUGUUGGCUGAAUCCCGUACUUCGUCUGGAACUGUGAGCUUUGGAGGCACUUGGUCUAAAUUAUACACAAUGAUAACCUUCAUUACAUGCACCAGAAGCAAAUUCCUGGCAGCAAUUCCCCACACAUCCUUAUUAGCAUGCCGGCAUGAAUCUUUUAACAUGCAUUGACUGCAUACCUGAAGAGAUCCCAGACAAAAGAAACAAAGAAACAAACAACAUUAGAAUAUUUAUAGUUAACAACUUAACAUAUAACAGAGGUUUUAACUGUUCGAAUUAUUGAAAUAUUGGCUUACAGUGUCUUCUUGAAUUUUAAAGAUUUUGCGCAACCACUUAGCAGCAAAGACAUUAUUUUUAUCAAGAGAAGGGCAACCAAAAAGCGCCACUGUUUUCAAGUUUUUGCUUGACAACCACCUGAACAUACGAAAAUUUUAAUGUUUUGUUGUUUAAUAAUAAGCAAAAAAGAAAGUUAUUCAGUGUAGGAUCCCCCUAAAGAUGUGAAAAUAAAGUGUUUUUUCUCUUUGUUUGCUAAAUGAUAUGCAAAAAUCAUGAAUGUCAAGCUUUGCAAUACUUGAAUCAAAUGGCAAAAUCUCUAAAACAAUUUUACAGAACAACAUGAAAGAGAAGAGGGAAAAACAUGUUCUUACUGUGCAAUCUCUUGAUGAUCUUUACCAAACUUGUAAGCAGCAGACUUUAUAAAAUCUCUGCCAUAUUUACUAUCAAAGUAACUAAAAUCCAACUUGUUGUCUACCAAAAAAUUAGCGUUGUUAAAAUAGCCUUUUGAAUACAAAUGGCUAGCGAAAGCCUUAACAAACGGCGAAAGGUCCUUCAGAACUGUCGCCUCCCCCGAUUCUCUCCUGCGUUUUUCCACCAUCUUUUCACCACCAAACAACUCAACCAAGUUGAUAACUUUCUUCUUGGGUUUUUUCUCUUUCUCUUCCUUUUGCACUUUUGACUUUGGGUUUUCUUUCAACGCCCUAACUUCUCUCUCCAAUUCCCUUAAUUCGCUCAUUAUCCCAUUCUUUUCUUCUUGGUAUUCGCUUUCGUUUCCGCCAGCCUUUUCAGUUAAACCAACCGCUUCUUCAAAUAGCAGAGAAAGUGGCUUCUUGAUUGGUUCCUGGGGAGAGGAACUAAGGGUUCUUCUGAUUAUGAAGGACGGUGAAUGAAGGAAGGUUUUGUGAAGAGGGUUCUGGGUUUUGAAGACAACUUUGGCUUGGUUAGAAAGUAAUAAAGUUUUAAAGAGAGACAUUUGGAAAUGGAAAAGGAGGGGUUUUGGAAGGGUUUUAAGGUUCGACGUAGAAAUGGGGUUUUUGCAUACGAUGCCAUGGAAAGAGGUUUUUUACAGAGGACAUAGGAAAUGCUCAAAUCAAAAUGGGGGAAACUUGGGUUUCAUUAGGGAACCAAAGCUGGACCAUUAAGCCCAAGCCUUAAACCGACCCGUUGACUGAAAAAGCCGAAGCUGGGUUUUAUAAGCUCAAUAUUUAUUUGCUUUCGUUAUUAGUUUUGUUUGAGAAAUUUGGAAAGGCCCAUUGCCUGAAAGAAACCAGUGCUUAUUUUGCCUUACUCCGCAAUUUCAGUCUUUAAAAAUUUGCUUUACUUGUCUCCAUUGUUAUUACGUGAUUCAAUGUGGAAACUGUAGUUCAAAGAUGCACAAAGAAUGGGAUAUUAGAUCGUUGAUCAGAAGUGAUCCAUGAUCCUUGCUUUGGUUCAUUUGCAUUUGCAUCCGCCCUGAGUUGGUCCUUUAGAAUUAUAUAUUUUGUAAUGUAGUGGUGCUUGCGAAUAGAAUCCAAGAUCAAGAGCACUAACACAAAUAAGAAUAGGUAUUAUGUACAGUUUUCAACUGGUUACUUGGCACCAUUGGUGAAUUACUAGUCCAUGAAACAUUUGGGUGAGUUGUUGGACUCUGAUGAACGUAAAAUGAGGUUUUUACAAUCCUUUCGGAUUGAAUGAAAGAAACCAUGCAUUGUUUCUUUUACCAGGUUGGUUUUCAGGUCUGUGUUUGCCAGUGGAUUCCAUCAUGAAGAGCCCUGAAUUCAGAACAUCUGAAUUUCAACAGGAAAAACAAAAUGAAAGUUCUGAAUUUGCAAGCACCUGUUGGCUUUGGAUUCCAUGUGAUAGUGGGUGUAGAUUCAAGUGGGAACAAAGAAAGUAGAAAAAGCUGAGGGGAUUUCCACAAUAUCUUAAUCUAAUAAGCCCAACCCAAAGUGUGGAUGAGAGGAAGGGACAUACUGUGCUUUAAAACUCUAUCCGGAUUUUUUUUUUCUUAAACUAUAUGUAUUUGAUAUUUAUGAAUAGAAAUUUGAUCUUUUACAUGUAUAAAAGCAUUUAUAUUGAACAUACAUACAUAACUCACAUCCAUUUUGGAAUCCCAUCAACAUUUACUUCUCAUGUCAACUUUGAAUGAAAUUUUUGGCUAAGCUUUGUGCAGAAGACCCCAACUUUCUCGACAACACUAAUUUACUCCUAUUAUCACACUAUGUUAUUUCUGCUUUUUCGUUGGCUGCAUUGUGUUUUUUCCUAUUAUCAAGUUUCAUAAAGUAAUUGUGUCCUUCGGUUUGAGAUGAAUAUUGUUGAUGAUUGUGUGUAUCACAAAUUUAAUGAGAUUAAAUAAAUAUUCUUAAUUCUAUAUGUCGAUGACAUUUUGCUUACCACUAAUGAUAUAGACUUAUUGCACGAAAUCAAGAUGUUUUUAUCUAAGCAUUUUGAGAUGAAAGAUGUUGGGGACACCUAUUUUAUUUUAGGAAUUUAGAUGCAUCGAGAUCAAUUUUGGGAUAAUCUCAGAUUGCCACAAAAGAGCUAUAUCGAUAAAGUACUCAAAAGGUUUGGCAUGCAAGCAGGAGCGAAGCCAGAAAUAUUUUGUAGGAGAAUCGAAAUUAAAUUGUAAUUUUUAUGAUAGUAAAAAUAUAAUUUCACUAUUUUAGUACCCUAUACCUUUAUAAUUUAAAAAAAAAUAAAUCAAAUUUUUAUCAUUUUAAGGGGGUAAAGUGCAAUUUUACCUUUAUUAAUUUAAAAUUUUAAAAAUUUUAAAGGGAAUAAAUGAAAAAUUUUCUAUUUUAGGGAGGUUGGAGACCCUGCCCUUACCAACCCUCCUAGUUACGCCCAUACAUGUAAGGUUGUAGACCAAGUGACACCCCUAUUUCUAAAGGAAACAAAUUAAUCUUACUCAAUACCCUAAAAGUAACCUUAAAAUUCAGGAAUUGUAAAAGAUUCCUUAUGCAUUAGUUGUUGGGAGUCUAAUGUAUGUCCAAGUAUGUACGUGUCCGGAUAUUGCGCACAUUGUUGGGAUGUUAGGCAGAUAUUUAAGCAACCUUGGUAUGGACCAUUGGAUAGCAACCAAGAGGAUUACAAGGUAUAUUCAAAUAAUAAAAGAUUACAUGCUCACUUAUAAGAGGUUAGAUCAUUUGGAGGUUAUAGGGCAUUCCGAUUCUGAUUUCAUUGAGUGCCAAGAUAGUAAGAAAUCUACAUCAGGCUAUAUUUACUUGUUAACUGGAGGACUUAUAUCCUAAAAAGGAGUCAAACAAACACUUGUAUCUUCUUUCACUAUGGCAGCAGAGUUUGAAGCAUACUAUGAGGCAACAAAUAAUGGAAUACGGCUGUGGAACUGUCACUGGGCUGCGCAUUUUGGAGAAUGUAGAAAGAUAACUCAAAUUAUUUUGUGACAAUAAGUCAGCGAUGCUGUAUUCCAAUAACAACGGGAGCUCAUCUAAGUCAAAGCAUAUUGAUAUAAAAUUCCUAGUUGUGAAAGAGAGAGUGCAAAAUGAUUAAAUAUUCAUAGAACACAUUGGGACAAACUCCAUGAUAGCGCAUCUGCUCAUGAAAGGUUUACCACCCAAAGUCUUUUAUGAGUACACUGCUCAUAUGGGUGUUAUAUUAUUUAAGGAUAUCAUGAUUUAGUGGGAGUUUGUAUUUCAUUUACUUUAUGUUUAUAUUAUUUAAGGAUAUCAUGAUUUAGUGGGAGUUUGUAUUUCAUUUACUUUAUGUUUGUUUUCAGACAUUUAUUUAUUUGGUUAUUUUCUUAUCAGAAAUGAAGUAUUUAUUUUAUUUGAUACUGACUUCACUUACAUUUAAGGAGAACUAGUUGGAAAUAAGCAUGCUUGGUUUACAUUGCUUGUAAUUUCCAUGCUACGCAUUCAUAAUUGAUCUAUGUCAUUUGACUAUAUUUGUAUAUAUACCCAUUGAUGAGUUUAGUCAUGAUUAAUAUGACAAAGAUUGCUUUGAUCUUAUAUGAAAAUAGUUGAUGGACGAGAUUGUUAUAGAAUACAUGUUAUAUGAUAGCAAAUUUUGCGCUCAUAAGGUUAUACAUUUAUCAAGAAACAUAUGUUGCCCAAGUGGGAGAUUAUUGGAUUAAAAUUCUCAAUUAUGGACACAAAUGUAUAAUGUAUAAUGCUAUUAUAAAGUGUAGUACAAAAUUAAGUAACCAAUUAUGUUAUAAGUGUCAUAGGUAUUAAAGUGUCAUGAAAAUAAUGUGUAAGUACCAUAAUUUGUAUUUAUAAUUUAAUGAGAGGCUAAAUUAUAAAUACCCAAAAUUAAUUUAAUAAUCAAUUAUUUUAAAAAGAGGUAGUGGUCCACAAGAAAUAGAUAUAUAUCUCAUAUUUUUUUCUAUCCUUAUAAGAGAAUUAUAUAAAAUGAAAAAUUAUUUUCUUAGAAGAUCAAAACCUUACGAGUAAUCUUCAACAAUAAAUUCAUGUAUACUUUUAUAUAUAAUUUUGUUUUUAAUGAUAUGACAUAAUAGUUCGGUUCUAUCAUAUAUAUCUAAAUCCACCAUUACUACAGAAAUUGGAAAGUAAAUAAAUAAAGAGAAAAGAAGAAAAUAUGUGUAAAAGACUCGCCUAUUCAGGGGAUCGAGUUUCCCAUACAUUUUCCAUCUUCUACGACAACAAAUUAUGAUUGGGGGGGGGGGGGGGUACAAAUAAGGAAAGGUGAAUUUUAUUCUUAAUAGUUGGAAAAUGGUGAUGGUAGUAUUAAGCUUUUUAUUAAAAAAAAUACUAUUAAUUAUUAUUAAAUAUAAUUAUGUUUUGUUUGAUAAAAUUAUUUAUUAUUUGAGAUGAUUUUAGAGAAUAAAAGAAAGAAGUAAUUGUGAAUAUAAUAUUUUAUUCAGUAUGAAUUAAAAAUCAAAAUAAUAGUUAUUUUAUUGAGACACCCUAAUAAACUGUAGAUUUGAGGGAGCAGUUACUCCACUAUUUUGUUAGUUUUUAAAUUAAAAAAUUGGUUAGGGCCAGAUUACUUUAUUACCAUGUGUUUUGUUGAAUGUCAACAAAUUUGAUAGCGCGAGCAGCGGCCAAUUUCCUUUUUUCUAUUUAGUACCAUAUUUCCAUUAUUUCGGCUAAAAUGUCCCAUUUUCCUAUCGUAAUGUCAUAAUUCUCCAUUAUUACAUUUACUUUAUUCAGCUUUUCUUUUCUAAUAACAUCUUAUAAAAUAUUAGAUAGAGAUUUGGAAUUUCGCCCAAUUUUGUUUUUAUUUAUGCAUUAUUCUUUUGAAUAUCAUAUAAUAUUUUUAAAGAAUAAAAAAUGAUUUUAUUUUAAAACUUUUCCAGAUAUUUAUAUUUAUUUAAUAUCACACUGAUUACAGACUUGUUUCUCAUGUUUUUUACAAAUAUUGGUAAUGCAGUGUGAUUAUGUGGCCGCUUGGAUUGUUGCAAUAUGAAAUAAAAUAUUUUUUUAAAAAAAAAUCAUACCAAAUUGAACGAUGUUUUCUACAAAUACGUUAUUAGAUUAGUAACUCAUGUACAAUUAUAUCUAUGUCCACUAAAUAAUAAUAAAAAAUUAGUAAGAAUUUUCCUCUUGGACCCCCUAUAUUUCUAAAAUUCUACAUAGCUAGCAGUUUAGUGUUCCUAGCUCCUAAACUUUUGCAACAAUAAUUCAACUAUCUUAGUUCAAUCCAGUCCAUCAAUUUUAUAAUAUAGGAUUAAAGUGAUUUUGGUAAUAAAUAUUCCCAUCAAAUGGUCAUAAUAUUGAUAAAAUUAAUAACAUAAAUUGUGUAUGCUUAUUUCCAAUUGUAAAAUUACAAUAGAAACUCCAUACCUUUUUUCUUUUUGGAACUUAGAAAAUCCACGUCUUUAUUAUGAAGAGUAUUCAAUAAUCACAUAAAACCUUAGUCUAUAAAAAAAAAUGUAAACAUAACAAAAGUAUAAAUAAAACAACAAUCUACCACUAAAAUGGCUCAUCGCAUAGUUUUGCAGACCCAUAAUCAUUGAGCUUGCUAAUAUGAUUUAUUAGCACCUCAAAACUCUAAACUCAUUUCUUCACAACAAGAAAUUCAAUGUCAAUAUGUUUUGAUUUUAACCAGUUUCUUUUGUUCCUUCAACAUAACUAGACAAAUUUAUUAUUACAAUUAAUCCUCAAUGGUCCUUUUACAUCAACUAUUGCAAGUGAUAAAAUGAUUUGAUGCUUCAUAUACAUUCACCUUUUAUACCGGAGGAAGUUAUAUGUGCAUGUUUGACACUUACUCAAGAAAUAGCUCUUCCAACUAUCACGAAAACAUGAUUUAACAUGUAUCUUCUACUAUCAAGACAUCUACCAAAAUCCAAAAUAGAAUAUCCCAUGAUCUCUAAAUGAUCUUAUUUCUAAUAAGUGAGCAUGUAAUCUUUACUUCUUUAAAGAUACCUCAUAACCUAUUUUAUUACUCUCUAAUGAUCCAUUCAUUCCUACUAUCUACACUAUAUUCGAACAAGUACAAACUUUACAACAUAAGACUUUCCACUACUGAUGCAUAUGAGAUUUUUUUUUCCAUUUUUUUCUUCCCUUUGUCCAUCUUUCGGCAUUUUAGCAAACAAAAUUCAUCGCCUGCACUCACAAGUGGUCCCCCUACUGUAUAGUUUUGAAUGCAAUGACUACUAGUCUCCUUAUCAAUGUAAGUCUUUGUGAUAGUCCUAAUGUCACGGGACUAGAACUUAAGUCUGGCAAACCACGCGACCUUAAGCGACUUCUUUGCUUCAAAUUUGCCUAACUCUCAAAAAGUGAGAAUUCUUUUGAAAACUCUCUAAGGCACCGAAAAUAAAAAGGAGGCAACUUAAAAGAGAAAGGAACUCAAAUUGAACAUAAAAACAACAAUAAAAGAAUAGCACACCAAGUAUUUGAGUAAAUGCUCUCAAAAGUAUAUUUUAACUCAAAAAUGGAAUGAAUACAAAUGAAGAGGGAGGGUUGCAACGACCCUAUAGUCAGGGGUGCAAAAAGUACAUUCCCGGGACUCCGUUCUCAUAAAUCGGACUUGUAAAUAUUUUUGAAGUUAGUUGUGUAGUUAAUUAGAUUUUGGUUAAGUAAAAUUACAUGAAUUAAGAAUUAUUAUAGUAUAAGGACUAAAUUGCUAUAGAGUAGAAGUUGAAUUAUAUAUUAAAAUCAGUUGAGGGAUUAAAGUGGUAAAUAAUAUAAAGUGGACGACAUUAAUGGGGCAUUAUAUAUAUAAUAUUUUAAUAUAUAUAAGUUAUAUAUUAUUAUUAAUAAAACGAAAUUAAUAUGUAUAAAGGUUAUAAAAAUAAUAAAAGUUAUAAUAAUAAAAGAAAGAAUAAAGAAAUAAAAAUAGAAAGGCAUGCAAAAUUUUGAGAAAGAAAAGAAAGGGAGAAAGGAGAAAGAAAUGCAUGGCCAAGGGUUUUUAAGUUUUCAAACUUCAAUUGGUUAGUUAAUUUAGUCAUUUUUCUUGUAAUUUUUAUAUUUUUGGAUUCUCGGUGUUUAGUACUAAUCGACCCAUGUGAAAAUUUUAGUAUUGAUUAAGAUUUUAGAUGUUGUUGUUGUUGAAUAGUUUUAGGAUUAGAGAUUAAAUUGAUAGAUUUUUAAGUUAGAAAUAGAAAAGGACUAAGUUGUAGAACAAAUUAUAAAUUUUGAGUAAUAGGGACUAAAUUGUGAAAAAUUCAAAAUUUAAGGAUAUAAUUGAAAAUAGAGAGUUAAAUUUAGUUUAAAGUGUAAUGAGUAUGAAAAUAUAGAAUUUAAUGUGAAGAUUAAAAAUUAGUCUCGGUUUAAGGACUAAAGUGAAAUUUAAGCAAAUAUUGUGUAAAAAUUGAAAUAUUCAAUGUGAAAUUGAAUUGUGUUGUAUUGGUAGCUAACAUUGUACUAGAAUCCUCAAUUAAAAAGGGGAAGGAUAAAACGACGUCCAAUAGCUCAGAAUUCACAGUUUGUGUUUCCCUAAUCUGAACUAAGUUGUAAAAUAUUGCAUUUUGCAUUAUUUCAUAUGGUAAGCAUUGGAGGUGAGAGUUAUGGUGCUUUACAAUUGAACUGAAUUUAUAUUUGAUUGAAUUGGAUUAAUUUGGUAUAUGUUAUGAAUGUAUUGAAUAUUUGAAAAUUGAUAUGAAUAUAUGUUUGAAUAUGAUAUUGUACAAAUAUGAGAAUUUAAUAUUGGUUGUAUUUGUAAGUGAUAUGGAACCCUAUUAACUGUUUGGGGCUAAAUCGAAUAAAGAUGGCAUGCCAUAGGAUAGGAAGAGUUCAAAUAUUUCUUUGACUUCAAGUCGAUGAGACACAGGGUGCUAAUUUGCUUCGGUUUAACCGAUAAGACACUGGGUGUCAAUUUAUAUAGCGUUGGGCAUUAAUAUUACUUUUGAUUUAUCUGAUGAGGCACAUGUUGGUUGGAUCUAUAUAUCAGUCCCAGUCUGAGUCGUGUUAAUAGGGGUAAAUAAAUAAUAAUAAAGUUCUAUAAUUAAUAUUGAAGUGGUAUGAUAUGUGAAAUGGAAAUGAUAUGGUAGAUUGAAAAUGAAAUGUGAAAUAUGUUGUGAACAAAUGAAAUAUAUGAGUCAUGUACUCAUAAAUUGAAUAUGGAAUGGAUAAUGUAAUUGUUUAAAUGAAAUGUGAAUUGAUAUAUGGAAAGUUAUUUAUAUAGCAAGUGAUGUGAAUUGAGAUAUUUGUUAAACAAAUCAAAUAUGAUAGCAUGUGAAAAUUGAGUAUAUUAUGAAAUGUUAUGGUAAAAUGCAUGAAUUUGAAAUGAUGGUAUACGGUAAUUGUAAGUUUAGACAAUAGUAUGUUCAUAUAAUUCAAAUUAUGCAUUCUUGUAUUAUUAUGUCUUUAAUUGUUCAGAUUAUAGAAAUAUCAUUGAGUUUUACUCAACAUAUGGUUUUAUUUUUCAUGCGCAGGUUAGGUACUUCUCUUUUGAUUGCCGACUUAGCAUCCAACAACAAUCCCGACCUCAAAUGUGGUGACGUUUACCUUUUGUAAUGGCAUGUACCUAGGAUGUGUUUGGUUGUUAGUGAAUUUGGUUUAUGGUAUGUAAUUGAGUUUAAAUAUAAUGCUGGUUUGGUAUAUAUAUAACAUAUGUUUGUGUUUGAAACCUUAAUUUGGCAUGUUGUUUUGAACCAAGGCUUGUUGGGUGUAUGCGAAUUUAAGCUUGAUGUUUUUGUUGAUUAUAAGCUAGGCUAAAUUUAGUGAUUUUAGUAUGUUUUAAACUUUGAUUUGAAUGAUGCAUCGUUGAUAGGUUUUGAAGAUAUAAAUAUGGUACUAAUGAGGGUACAUUGGUUAGGCACCUAAGAUGAUUGUUUUGACAUCUUUAAAGUAUGUUUGAUCGUAUUUUGGAUAGGUUAAAUGAUCGGUUUUUAAAUUGAUUAAUGCCCAAACAAGUAGGGAAUGAAAAAUUUGUUGUUUAAGGUACAUUUUAGGUCCACACGGCCAGACACACGGGCGUACGACACGGCCGUAUGAGACGCACGGCUAGGCAACAUGGCCAUGUGUCGUCUGUUGAGUGCUUAGGGAACAAGUCAGCUAAAAUACAGCCUAGCACACGGGCGUGUGAGGCAAUUUCGACAGUUAAACGGCCUAGCACACGAGCAUGUGGCUUGGCCGUGUGACCCAAGUUAAAGACUUAUACGGGCACAGACACGGGCUGAGACAUGACCGUGUGUCCCUAUUUCAAAUGUUACACGGCCUGGGACACAAGUGUGUGUCUCAGUCGUGUGAGUCACAUGGCCUGGCCACUCGGCUGUGUGACUCUUGUAGUUGAAUUUUUCUAAAUUUUUCCUAAAAUUUUCAAAUGUUCUAUAUUUAGCCCCGAAUCAUUUCUAAAGUGAUUUUAAGACUUCGAAGGCUUGAAUAAAGGACAAUAUGCAUGUUUAAUGUUGGAUUAUGUUAUGUUUAUUGUAAUGUUUUGAAAUGAAUGAUUUAGGUUACGUUUAUUUGGUAAUGCUCCGUAACCCUAUUUCGACGACGGAUACGGGUUAUGGGUGUUACAAGGGUUCUAUUUAUAGUUGAGCUCUCCUAAAUCCAAUUGUACAGAUCAAAUUACAUCAAUGGCUGAAAUUAGUUCACAUCUACAAUAAGAGAGUCUUAAGGAAUUUAAUCUCUAUACAUCUUAAUCCUUUAGAAUUUUCAAUAAUCAUUAUGGUAAAAAUACAAUUUACUAGUUUGUUUACAUCUUAACCAAGAUUCAAGUAGAUAGGCCUCGAGUCUCUUCCAAGCAAUGGACCAGUCUUGUUGGACCAAAUAACCCAAUGGAACAAAAAGGGUCUAAAAUGUGCACAUCCAUUGCGGGGUCUUUUGUGCGGCCUGUGACAUUCUCCCUCAUUUGUUCUCUCGACGCCCUUGUUACGUCAUCAAAAUGGAAUUGCCAUAAAGUCUUAGUUGAUUUCCAACUAGCCUCAUUGUCGGGAAGUCAUUUCCAUCAAACAAGGUACUCAUGCCUUGACCUAUAAUACUUCCAUUAAAUCACUCAAUCUACCAAAAUACAUUCAACUUCACAAUUAUAGGAUACCUUUACCCCCAUUAGCACUUGUAUGAACUUGCCUCGAUUUGGAUCCUCCUGAUCCUCAUGGAAAGGAUUAAGCAUACUGACAUGGAAUAUCAAAUGGACCUUGAGUUUUACUGACAACUCCAGUUUGUAAGCUAGCUUGCCUACCCUUUUUAUAACUCUGAAAGGUCCCUCAUACCGUUGCACAAGGAUCUUGUGCAAGCAAGUGUGACACAAAACAAGUGCAAUUUAGCAAGGACUGAGCCACCAACUUGAAAUUGUACAUAUCUACGAUUUUAAUCAGCUCACUUCUUAUUGCGAUUACUUGCCUUGUGUAGGCAAGCCUUGGCUAAGUCAUUUUCCUCUUGCCAAUCUUUACCAAAUCAAUAAGCUGGUAGGUUCGGUCAUGUAUAACUGUUCACGACAGCAUUGGAUGUGAGUGGUUGUUGCCUCAUCAAAAUCUCGAAUGGACUAUGAUUCGUAGCCCCACUUCACUACAAGUUCUAAAAAAAUUGGGUCACAUCCAACAACUUAGGCCAGUCCUUUUGCGUGGCAUGCAUAUAGUGUCAAAGAUAUGUUUCCAACAAAACAUUUACUCUCUUGGUUUGCCCAUCAAUUUGCAUAUGCAUGCUAGUGGAAAAUUUCAAGUUUUACUUUUCGUUUAGCUCUCACGAGCUUUUGUUUAACUCAUAUGAGUUUUUGUUAAGCUCUAUUGAGCUUUUGAUUAACCCUUAUGGGUUUCCGUUUAGCUCUUACGAGCUUCCGUUCAACCCUUAUGGGUUUCUAUUUAGUCUCAUGAGCUUUUGUUCAGCCUUCGGGCUUCUGAAAACGAUGUACUCUUAUCCGUAAGCCGUUCUCCGAUUUAGGAAGAUUUGGUAAGUGACUAUGUAAUUGAAAUUAAAAGACAUAUUGUUUGUUAUUGGUAUUAACUUAAAAUAAGUGUAUUCAUCGAUUGAAGUUGUGAUUGGCAGGGAGUUUACAUUGCAUGAAUUUAUUUAAUUAAUGUGUUAUAGUAGGUUCGGAAAGAUUUAUUUUUAUGCCAUCGAACUUACUAAGCUUCAUUAAGCUUACUUGUGUGGUUUAAUCUCUUUGUAGAUUUUCGGGAGGUCGGAAGAUCGGA